AAAAAUUUCAGGAAAAUAUUACUCCAUUUUGAUUUAUUUAUUGUUUCUCAUAUAUUUGUAUAAACACAGUACAUUAUUUUGCCGCUCAAAGCAGAAGAGCAGAAGAUACAAUGAUUUAGUUUUGCUCACAACACUACAUAGGAACUCAAUACAAUAUUCACUAAACACUUGUGAAAAGUGCAGAAAGGUACUAAUAGGGUGUCCUAUCAGAAGACACGGUGACUUUAUCUUUACUCACAAUACAGUAAUUUUACCCACAACAAAACCUAGGAACUAAAUGCAAUUGCAAAAUCGGUACUAAGAAGGCAGACUACCAAUGCCCUUUAUGAAGGUUUCCAUGAAGACAGUGGAAUCUUCAUAGGUAGGAGUGACACCCCCAUAUCGAUGACCCCUUACAGCAUCUGCUGAAGCAAUGGAUUUAAGCUCAGCAAUUUCUUCCGGAGUUAGUUUCACUGACAGAGCUUUAAUAUUUUGAUUCAGGUUUUCAAUCUUGGUGGUAUAUUUUGAUUCAGGUUUUCAAUCUUGGUGGUUCCAGGAAUUGGACACACAUCAUCUCCUUGGUGAUGAACCCAUGCUAAUGCAAGCUGAGAUGGGGUGCAUCCUUUCUUUACAGCUAUUUCAUUAACACGUUCAAAUAGCUUUUUGUUAUGCUCUAAAUUUUCAGGUUGGAACCUAGGUAGAAGCUGCAAGAUUUAGAAAACAGCUCAGUACCAAAAGUGAACUGUAAUUGAAUCAUUAAAAAAGAACAUCAUUUUGGAUAAAGCAUGAUUUUAGAGGAGGUUUAAGUAAAAUUCAAUAGACCAGAAAAUAAGGAAAAAGGACUAGUUGAGGGACUUCUCCUAGGCAGAGGAUGUCUAUAGUAAAACAUUUUGGAAUGUUAGAUGUUUUCAACAUAUUUUGGGGUAGGAAAAUCCAAAAUCUAUCUUAAACAAUGAAUUUAUAUUUUUCGGGGAGAUGGGGUACCUCACUGGUUUGUUGUGUGCGGUGCGGUGUAUCUGAAGUUCGGGGGAGGUGAGAAGGGGAGAGAGAGUGGUAACAAUGGUGGAAGGUUAGAAACAAGAGAGGUGUCCUUCAAAAUGAGCUUCACGCCUGCAAAACAGUGAAAUAGAGGUUAGAGGUGAAGCCGGGGUACCCCGGCGUUCACACUCCGACGCUCAAGUUAGCAAACUCAAGCUUUUAUGGCAAAGAGAGCUAGCUAGCCCUCUGUAAAUUAGGGUUUAAGGUUGAAGAAAACCUUUUUUUUGGAGUGUGAGUGUUUUGGGGCGAAUGAGAGCAUGAUGGAGAAUGAAACCUAGGCGCCUUUAUAUAUGGAGUACCUUAGCUGCCACGUGGCGUACCCUUUUUGGCUAACGUCCUUUUACCGCUUUUAUGAUUCUUGGGGCCGUUAUGUGCAUGUUCGCGGCGUAUCUCAUCUUUUGGAAACGUGGCGCGCGCUGGAGAGUGGUCCGGGGUACCUCUGCAGUAGCUGUUGGGUAGGCGGCUAGGGACCACUGUCCUUGGGACAGUGUCCUUCACUUUUGGCAGAGGUAGCAGGCGACUGUCCCCCCUUUUGAUACGACGUUAUUGAUUCAUAAUUCUGACAAAAUCAAAUAAUAUCUUUUAGGAGGCGGAGACGUUUCUCAUGGCGGAUAUUUUCGGAGGUACCUCGAGUUACGUGGGGUACCUCUAAUUGUACGGGGUACCUCUAGUUACGUGGGGUACCCCCUAUUACGCGGGGUACCCCUAUUUGUAUGAGGUACCUCAUAUUAUAUGGGGUACCUCUAUUUGUGUGGGAUACCCCUAAUUGUACAGGGUACCUCUAUUUACACGGUGUUCCUCAAGUCAUGCCGGGCACCUCGGAUUGUGCAGGGUACCCUCCGAUUGUGCUGAAAUCAUUCCAUUGGUUGACACGUGGCGCUCUAUUGCCUUUCCUAUUUUUCCCUCAAACAACAUCCCCUAGUUUCUUUUUGGCGAGAAGUAUUGGAGGCAAAAGAAACUCAUUGUAUGAGUGAUACGUGCCGACGCGGUUGGACCGGAGGGUACCUUGCUUAGCUUCUUUCCUUGACUAAACUUUGUGUACUUCGAACUAAAAAUCUUCUCUUUGUCUUUUCGUUUUCCCGCUUUUUUUUUUUUUUUUUUUUGACGAUGAGAACGAACAGUUGUCUUCAUAUGCCUCUCUCCUUUUUCUUGGGAAGUGGCAGCCGUCUGACACGCAGUUUGAAUUUUGAAAAUACAAAUCUCACUCAAACAUCCCUGAACUCCUUUCUUGGGCAACGUGUUCUGUCAGGUUGAAUUUAAAACUCCUGACGUGUGUCAAAAUUUUGACAAUCCCCAAACGAACUCCAAAAAAUUGAUUAUUUCCAGUAGCCUUUUUCUUCCAUAAUUUCGUCUCCUCUUCGAAAUGCAUCAACAUCAUCACGUUAAAAAUAAGAAUUUCUUUACUUUUUUUUUUUUUUUUUUUUUUUACGCUCGUUCAUCUUCCCUAGGCUCUAUUCUCCCUUUACUCUUUUUCUUUUAUUUCAUUCUUCUUCCGUUUUCUUUCUUUCCCAUUUUCUUUCUCCCUUUUCUUUCUCACGUUUCUCCUUCCUUUUUCUCUCUUUUCCUUCUUCCUUUUCUUUCAUUCUUUUUUCUCUUUCUCUCUCGGCCGGCGUUGAUCUAGUACGUUUUCCGGCGUGGAUCGCGGCUGCUGCAGUGGCGGUUUUGGGCUCCAGAUCUGGUCGGUUCAAGGCGAUUUUCGGCGGCUCACGGCGAGAUCUCAGUCCGGCGAUACACACGGUAACCCCUCCUUCAUCGUUUCUUCAUUUUUCCCUUGGUGCUUUCUCUCUUCCUUCCCUUGUCUUCUCUCUUUUUCUUCUCUUUUUUUUCUUUUCUCUUUUUCGUUUCGGCUUGUGUUUUUCUCUGUGAUUUCCGGCGUCGGUUUGGUGUGGUUGCGGCCGGCGUCGGUUCGGUGGCUGCAGCCGCGGCAGCCGGCUUCGGUUUGGUGGUUUCCGGCGUUAGUUUAGCGGCUGCUGCUUCUCGGUUUUUCUCUUUUUUUUUUUUUUUCGGCCGACGUCCUCCUUUGCAUUUUUCCGGCGUCGGUUCUUCUUGAUGGCGGCAGCUGCGGCGAUCGGCGUCAGUUCGGUGGCUGCGGCGGUCGGCGUCGGUUCUUUUUUUUUUUUUUUUCGGCCGACGUCCUCCUUUGCAUUUUUCCGGCGUCGCUUCUUCUUGAUGGCGGCAGCUGCGGCGAUUGGCGUCGGUUCGGUGGCUGCGGCGGUCGGCGUCGGUUCUUUUUUUUUUUUUUUUUUUCGGCCGACGUCCUCCUUUGCAUUUUUCCGGCGUCGCUUCUUCUUGGUGGCGGCAGCUGCGGCGAUCGGCGUCGGUUCGGUGGCUGCGGCGGUCGGCGUCGGUUCUCGGUGGUUGCAGCCAUUACAGCCGACGCCGGUUACUGCAACUUCUUCGUUCUUCAUUUUAUUUAUUUACUUAUUUAUAAAUAAGUACAUAUAUUUAAGCUUUAUUCUUUAUUUUUAUACUUGCAUAUUUUACCCACUGUUUUUAGUUGCCUGCAGCUUCGUCUCCCCGCGAUUGUCAAUCCUGAUCUGUCGAAUUGGUGAAUCAUAGGUAUCCCUUCUUGUUUCUCCUCUUUUGGCGCAUUCACAGUGGCGCUAUUUUGCUUACUCUAAGAAAAAUUUAUUUUUAUUUUUGUUGUUUUUGUUUUUUUUGUUGGUUGGUGUUUGCAUUUGGUGGUUGAUGUGUGAUGGAUGGUGCUUGGUAUGGAUAUGUUGUUGUUGGGAAAACAUGUGGCUUGUUGGAUGUGUUGUUGGGGGCUUGUGGAUGUGUUGUUGGAUGUAUCGUUGGGUGUAUUGUUGGGGGAAAGUAGAUGGGUAAGAAACACACGGGACCCGUGAUGAAGCGACGUAAAGUUGGGGCUAGUAGGGUUGACAGCCCUCCUGCGGGUUCCCCUUCCCACAUCUCCAUUAGCGAGGGGGAUUGGUCCCCUCCUAGUUCCUCCAAGAGUUGUAAUUCUCGUUCUGAGCCCCCUCCCCCUAGGAGUACUCCUCGUGUCAGCCCACGCUUUCCUAGUAAACGACCUACCCCCAAUCCUCGAAAGAAGGGUAAGUCAACCAAGCCUAAGGUUCCAGCUCGUUCCUCGGACCAGCCGCCUAAAUCUCCCCCUGCCACACCUUCAAAAUCUAGCAACCCUUUUUCCCUAGGCAUUAGGAGGGCUACUUUGGGGGACUUAGAGCAAAUUAGAGCCAAAUACAAUAUUCCUCCGUCUGUCCAGCUCAGGGUACCCCAUGUGGAUGAGAGACCCGAGUGUCCACAGUCUGAUGGGAUUGCUCUCCAUAUCGACCUCUUCGAUCUAGGACUCCGCCUGCCCCUCCAACCAUUCUUUAUGAAAAUGUUUAGUUAUUUGGGGGUAGCUCCUGGGCAGCUGUCUCUUCUAAGGUGGAGGACACUGACGGGCUUACAUGUGUUAUGGUUGGAGGUCGUGAAGCGCGACAUUUCUGUUCGAGAGUUGAGGGGCCUUUACCAAUUCAAGAAACCUAAGGGUCCCGCCAUUGCUUACUUCUCCUCCUAGGGUGAUCAUGGCCACAUCGUUGAGGGGAACCCCGCCUUGAAGAAGGGUUACCGAAAGGGAUGGUUUGUCGCUGAGGGUAGGUGGGGGGCAGAGACUCUAGGUGAGAAGGGCGACCCCGUGGAGGUUCCCCAUUCCUUCAAUGUAGACUGUAAGUAUCUCCCUUACUUAUGGUUCUUUAUCGGAAUCUUUCGCCUGAAUGUCUCGCUAACCUUGAGUUCUUUAUGCUUUCGCAAGUGUGACAUGGGCUAAAGGAUCAUGCCCAGUUCAGGAGGUGGGGAGAGAGGUGAAGAAGUUUGUGGACAGGCUUCGAGGUGCACAAAGGGGUAGUGAUGUGCUAGAUGAGAGCCGAUUGUGGAGAGCGGGGCUGAUUGACCGAAGUCCUCCGCCUGCUCCUGGGGGUGACUCAUGUAUGAUUUGGGUGUCGGGGGGGGUAUCCUAUUAUUACUUAUGGGACUGGGGUACCCCAUUAUCAUUGCAUUCUUCGUUUCGCGUCCCCGCUUUCCAUUUCCUAUUUUUUACUUUUGCAGUACUUAGUACUUGUCCAGCUAACAUAACUUUUGUGCAUUGGGUGCAGUCAUGGAAUCGACGGGUGACGCUUUCGACGCCUUUUUCCAGGCAGUAGUGGGCGGUGCUUCCGGAUCUCAGGAUUCGGCGGUACCCCCGAAAGGCUCCCAACCUCCUCGAGCUCCCGGUCCGAAGGGGAAGUCUCAGGGUACCUCCCACAGCGGGUCGAAGGGUACCCCUCGCUCGAAGAAGAGAAAAUUCGGGCUGGUUUCCGCUUUCCCCGAGGAGUUGCGCGAAGGUGACCUAGACCCGACUUCCAACAAGGAGGUUUCGCACUUGGCUCGCUGUUUCUACUACUCCGCUGAAAAUGUUACCUCCGAGGUUGCUGAGGAGACUGACAAGAUGAGUUUGAGCCAACGCUAUAGUCAAGCACUUAGGGCUACCCAAGAGGUAGGCUUUCCCGGGAUACCCCGGGUGUACCCUUCAAAAAAUUUUUUUUUUUUUACUUGAUCCUAUUGCCACACGUAUAUAUUUAACGUGUCUUUUAUGACCCGCAGGCAUCUUUUCUCCUCAGCCACUGCCUUCCAGACCUUGACUCUCUCGUUGCCGCCCAGUCAGAGGUCGACAAGUUAAGGGGUGAGCUCCAAAGCCGUCAGUCUCGCGAGGAUCAGCUUGCUCCAGAAGUUAAAACUCUGCAAGAACGCAUUGCUGGCCUGUCGGGAGAGAAAGCUAAGGUGGAGAAGGACUGUGAGGAGUUGAGGGCCACCAACGGGGAUCUGCUAUCUCGGCAAAAGACGAUGGCGGAGGAUGCAUUCUCACUCAUCAUGACGGAGGUGUGGAGUGUGGAUCCGGAGUUGGAGGUACCCCGGGUGCAGAAAUUUGUCAACAAGGCUACGAUUCUAAAGACAAUUGCAGAGAGGAAGAAGCCUUCCCAGGCACGGUCGGGUACCCCCUCCGAGUCGCCUCGGGUACCCCAUCAGCUUUAGCCGUUGCCUGCUUCGGAUGCCCCUAGUUCGGCUGCUCAUAUUCCGGGUACAUCGGAGUCCUCUGCUGAUCGCCCUCUGGAGACGGAUGUUGGGGAUGGCGUUCCCCCUUCAGUGUAGCCUUCUCACUGUGCUCUUGUUUUUUUUUUUUUUUUUCGGACCUAUCCACAUUUUGCUAUUUGGACCUUGUUUCUUUCUUUUUGGUUUCUCGAGAUAUUUUGUAUUAUUGGGACUUCUCUUUUGUUAUGAUACCAUGCCAUCGAGUUCUCUUGUACUUUGCAUGCUUGUUAUUCUGCAAAUGAAUGCUUGACUAAACUGUUACCUUGUAAAUGUCUAGGGUACCUCUUUUUUUUUUUUUUUUGAAAUGGGGUACCCCUGGUACCUUAACAAAUAUCCAACAUCAGGCGGAUUCCCUACAAAUGUGGUGCAUGUCCUUCUCGGAAACUAUGGCGGAUUCCCCACAAAUAGGUAAUCAAAAUAUCAUCGCGACAUCUCGAUCAAACGUUGAAAGCGCAAUUGGUCCAACCAAUCACUUUCUUAUUCUUUCGAAGUUUUCUCCGAAUUUUUUGAAUAGCUUACCCCAUACUUUGCAAAAGUACGAGGACGGAGGUGUAGGUGUUCUCAUACCUAAGCCGAACUUCGUGCCGCUAGGGUAUGCCGGUUUUUCUUCACCCUCGGGUCCUCUCUGACCCUCCCUCUCUUUGUUUAGGUAGCUUUAUCAUGCUUCCGCAGAAAGGCUACCCCCGGGCUGUUCCCUCCGUUGCCCAUCUUGGGUUUACAUAUAUCGUCACGAUCUAGGCAUAUCAGGUACCCUGGCUGGUCCUGCGAUAGGUUAGUCAUAAUUGACAAACGUAUGGCGAGAAUUGCAUAUUACCAGAUGCGAGGGUAUAUUAAUGGCGAUAAAUGAAUAUAAUCCGCACUCUAAGAUCGAAGUGGAGAAAAAUAAAUAAAGAACCCACAUCAUAUUUGUUGAGAAAGAACAUGCAUUUAUGGAUAACGAAAGCGUUGAUCAAUACAUGACUUAGCUUUGUUACCCUGAGGAGAAUGGGAGACCGCAAGACCUCCUAUCCCUUUCAUUUGACAAUUAAAGAAACUCUAAAGUUGCAACUGACCAACAUAGGGCAUUUGGGGUACCCUAUUUGGCCUACCACACAAAAACAUUAAAGAAAGCAAAUAACAGCAAAAGACUAAAGGUUGAGACACUGUCCUUUAGUAAUAUUUCCGUAGCAUUACAGCGUUCCAAGGGUGCCUCACAAUUGUGCCAUCCAUGUGGAGUAGCCUGUAUGCACCUGUCCUAACGGGUUUGUCAAUGCGGUAAGGUCCUUCCCAAUUUGCCCCAAAAGUGCCUUCACAGGGUACCCUAGUGUUCUGAGUUACCCUUCUCAAGACCAAGUCUCCUUUCUUGAAUGACCGAGGGCGUACCCUUUUUUCGUAUAGACCCGAAAUGCGAUGCUGAUAUAUGGCUGUCCUCAGUUCUGCUCUAGCUCUUUUUUCAGCCACUAAAUCAAGGUUUGAAGCAACCAAUGAGGUGUUCUCGGCCUCAUCAAAGUAUUCAACCCUGUAAGAGGGUACCCCAAUUUCUGCUGGAAUCACUGCGUCAACACCGAAUGCGAGGGAAAACGGGGUCUCCCUGGUGGAGGUGUUUUGAGUAGUUCGGUACGCCCACAGUACCCCAGGUAGCUCGUCUACCCAUGCUCCCUUUCUUUUUUCUAGCUUCUUCUUCAGGAUACCUUUGAUAAUCUUGUUAACGGUUUCGACUUGCCCAUUAGAUUGGGGUGAGCAGGUGUAGCAAAUCGGUUGGUUAUCCCCAACUCCGAACAAAAGCUUCGAAAUUUUUCAUUAUCGAAUUGCUUACCAUUAUCACUGACAAUUGCAUAGGGGAUUCCAAAUCUGCAAAUGAGGUUCUUCCAAAUGAAUUCGGUGGUUUUCCUUUCUGUGAUGCUUGUUAGUGGCUCUGCUUCCGCCCAUUUUGUAAAAUAAUCUACCGCCACGAUUGCAUGUUUUGCUUGCCCCUUUCCAGUAGGUAACGGUCCAAUGAGAUCCACUCCCCAUAUAGCGAAGGGCCAAGGGGAAGAUAUAACUGUUAGCUUCUCUGGAGGUAGGUGGGGUACCCUGGCGAACCUUUGGCAUUUGUCACAGCUUCGUACCAUAUUCUUGGCAUCUUCCCGCAUAGUUGGCCAGUAGUACCCCUGACGGAGGGCUUUUUGCGCCAAUGAUUGUGCUCCAUAGUGAUUGCCACAAAUCCCCUCAUGUAUCUCCCUCAUGACAUACUCGGCCUCGUCGCUUCCCAAGCAUUUAAGGUAAGGAAGAGUGAAACCUCUUCUGUAUAAGGUAUCCUGGAUCAGGCAAUACCGGGCGACUUUAUAUUUUAAUCUCCUUGCUUCACUUUUAUCUGAGGGGAGGUCUCCGUCCUUGAGGUACCUUAUGAUAGGCUCCAUCCAAAGCACCUCGUUGGACAGCGAUCCUACUUCCAAUGGGGAUUUGGUUGUACCCGGAGAAGGUGACCCCGAAUGCACAUUUUUCAGGGUGAUGAAGGCCGUUUUCUCUUGAUCGGGUUCGUACAUCGGGAUUUGGUUGUACCCGGAGAAGGCGUCCAUAAAACUAAGCAUCUCAUGCCCCGCUGUUGCAUCAACCAGCUGGUCCACCCGGGGAAGCGGGAAGCUAUCCUUGGGGCAGGACUUGUUCAAAUCGGUGAAGUCCACGCACAUACGCCACUUUCCGUUUGAUUUCUUGACAAGAACAAUGUUGGAUACCCAAUCGGGGUACACUACUUCCCGGAUAAAUCUCGCUGCUAAUAGGCGGUCUACCUCUUGUUCAAUUGCAUCGUACCUCUCUUGGUUGAAGGCGCGACGCUUCUGUUUGACUGGUUUAUUAUGUGGGCUGACAUUGAGUUUGUGACAAGAGAGAGAAGGUGGGAUACCCGGCAUAUCCGAGUGGGACCAAGCGAAUACAUCGUGGUGCUCACGUAGGAAGGUGAUGAGUUUCUCUCUUUGUUCCUCCGAGAGGUUGGAGCCUACUUUCACCGUCUUUGUUGGGUCGGUGGCACAAAUCGAGACUGAAAUAAGGUCUUCAACUGGGGUACCCCUUUUUUCAUCUUUCAAUAUUCGGGGAUCCAAAGGUGCCUCAACUUCACAUCUGGGCUCCUCCUGGUCCCUGUGGGGUACCCUCGAGCUAUCCGCCGCAACUGCUUCUACACUCAUUGGUGAGGAUUCCAACUGCUCUCGUGGGUGGGCUACCUGAGGAGAUUUUUUUAGCACUGCUCUCCGCUGUCUAGCAAGUGCUCGCUUUGAGGGGAAAGGUGUGGGCUGGCUGCCACUGGGGUAUCCCUUCAUUGGCGGAUUGGAAGCUAUUUGGUAAGUGACUUUGGAGGUCACGGAAUAACAUCCACGAGCCGAUUGCUGGUCCCCUUUAAUAGUGAUAACUUCUUGGGCGGCUGGGACUUUCAUGGCGAGGUAGUGCAUGGAUACCACCGCUUUAGUUGCUACUAAAAACGGCCUACCCAAUAUAAUAUUGUAGGCACCCGGGUGAUCUACAAUAAGAAAAUCAAUCAUAUGAACGACAUGGUGAGGUACCUUACCAAGUGUAACAGGCAGCGUAAUGAUGCCUUUUGGUAUAACCAUAUCUCCGGCGAACCCAAUGAGAGGCGUAGCAUAGGGGGUGAUCUUUGGCGACUCAAUCAAUAGUUGAUCCAAGGCGCUUUUGAAAAUGAUGUCAACGGAGCUGCCGGUAUCUACGAGAGUUCUUGCUACCUUACCAGUGGCAACCUUCAACGUAAUUACAAAGGCAUCGUCGUGGGGGUACGAGAUGCCCUCCGCAUCUUUUUCUGUAAAAAGGAUAGGCGGGGGAUGGUGGGGUACCUUUGGUGUACCCCAUUGAUUAAGGUUGACUUCUCUGCCCAUAUCGGUGGUUAUCGACAACGAUCUACCAUAGCCUUUGAUAGCCCUCCUAGAUUGGCCCGCCAAGGUCGGUCCGCCCAUGAUCAUCCGAACAUACACGCCUUUCUUAUGUCCAGGGGGUACUUCUCGUUCAGGACUGCCAUCAGCUACCCGCUUGCCCUUAUCCUGCUCCGCGGAUUUCCUCAUGCCAGCAACAAAUUCUUUGAGGUACCCGCUGAGAAUCAAAGAUUCAAUUUCCUCUCGCAAGGUGAAACACUCGGCUGUGCUGUGACCAAAGUCUUCAUGGAACUCGCAAUACUUCAGACUACGCUUCAUGUUGGGGUACUUCUUCAUUGGCUUAGGAGGACGGAGGAGGCCGCUAUCCCGAAUAUGGUAGAAGAUCUGCUCUGGGGAUUGAUUCAGUGGGUGGUAAGAUUCGUACCGAGGCCUCGGUGGUGGCUCUCGCUAAUCCGGUGGUGGCGGUCUUGGAGGUUGGGGUACCCUUAAGGUACCCUGAGGGUUGUACCCCCGUCCUCGCGGGGCAACCCGUGGAGGGCUCCGUGGUUGGGGUACCCUCGGUAUUGGGGCCUCCAUCCUUUUAGGCUUUUCCUUGUUCUUUGUAACAUCGGCCUUAUCUUCUUGGCGCUUCAAUUGACAUUUUUCGUCCAUCUCCACCUGCUGCAACGCCCGGGAACGGGCUUCCCCAUAUGAAAGUGGGCGCUUCUUUUGAAAAGAACGCCAUAAUUUGCCCAGCCUCAAAUUUUUCUCAAAAUGGGUCAAUGUGUAUUGGUUUCCAAAUGCUCCGGUUUGCAGCACCUCUUGGUGGAAACGACUCACAUACUCCGCCAAAGGCUCGGCUUCCCCUUGCUUGAUAAAGGCAAGUUUGAAGGCUACCCUAUCUUGGGUGGAUGCAUAGGAAAACUCUUUAGUAAAUUCAGAUAGCAAUUGGUGUAAGGAAGAUAUGCUACCCGCUUUCAAAGAGCGAAACCAUGACUUCGCGGGGCCCGUGAGUGUGUGUGUAAACAUCCUACACAUGGCGCUCUCAUCUACACCCUUGAUAAGCAUUUGGUCGCGGUAUAACUCAGCAUGCUCUGAGGGAUCAGUGGUACCAGAGUAUUGGGGUAUCUGAGGCAUGGCGAACGCCUCGGGGAGAGCUGCCGUCCUAAUCUCCAUAGUGAAUGGUGACUGGUAGGUCAGUGGCGUUGGUGCAGCUGUGAUGUUUUGCUUCUCGGAGAGGAGCUUCACUUGGGCUUCCAGGUUCUCCAUCUUUUCUACAAGUUCGAGGGGUACCCUCGGUGUACCCGAUGAUGUCGCCGCCAUUUGAGAAGCCCUUUUGGCGUUUAGCUUCUCACGGAGAUCCUCGUGGGUACGCUUUGCACGCCUCGUACCCUGGCUGCUGCGGGAAUUGCAAGAGGCGGUGGAACGCUCGUCGCGAGAGCCCACGGUUUGAAACUUAGAACGGGUACCCGAUGGCCUAGGCUUUGGCUUGCUGGCCUCGGGUACCCCUCUUCUGACCAUAGCUUGGUCGUCCGUUUGAGGUGGUGGAGCUUCUAGCGUCACUGGUGGAAGCCAACUUUCGGGUGCUCGAGAUCCGACCGCCCUAAGUAUUGCGUGGGCAAGAUCCUCAAAACGCUUGUGCGAAAUAGGUUCCUCUUCUUGGCGAACACCCGUCGAUUGCUUGAUACCUUUGCCCUUGCUGACGCGGGCUACCCUUCUUGUGGGAUCACUACCUUCACUGCUGCUGUCAUCUCUCAUCCUUGUAGGAUCCCCCAUUAAACCUUCGGGAGGUACGUCGGGUGCCAUGUAUUGGAGUACACACAACAACUAGUUUGGUAACCGCGAAGGAGGCUUUUUGUGCGAAUCCCCACAGACGGCGCCAAUUGUUUUCAACAGAUUUUGGGGUAGGAAAAUCCAAAAUCUAUCUUAAACAAUGAAUUUAUAUUUUUCGGGGAGAUGGGGUACCUCACUGGUUUGUUGUGUGCGGUGCGGUGUAUCUGAAGUUCGGGGGAGGUGAGAAGGGGAGAGAGAGUGGUAACAAUGGUGGAAGGUCAGAAACAAGAGAGGUGUCCUUCAAAAUGAGCUUCACGCCUGCAAAACAGUGAAAUAGAGGUUAGAGGUGAAGCCGGGGUACCCCGGCGUUCACACUCCGACGCUCAAGUUAGCAAACUCAAGCUUUUAUGGCAAAGAGAGCUAGCUAGCCCUCUGUAAAUUAGGGUUUAAGGUUGAAGAAAACCUUUUUUUUGGAGUGUGAGUGUUUUUGGGCGAAUGAGAGCAUGAUGGAGAAUGAAACCUAGGCGCCUUUAUAUAUGGAGUACCUUAGCUGCCACGUGGCGUACCCUUUUUGGCUAACGUCCUUUUACCGCUUUUAUGAUUCUUGGGGCCGUUAUGUGCAUGUUCGCGGCGUAUCUCAUCUUUUGGAAACGUGGCGCGCGCUGGAGAGUGGUCCGGGGUACCUCUGCAGUAGCUGUUGGGUAGGCGGCUAGGGACCACUGUCCUUGGGACAGUGUCCUUCACUUUUGGCAGAGGUAGCAGGCGGCUGUCCCCCCCUUUUGAUACGACGUUAUUGAUUCAUAAUUCUGACAAAAUCAAAUAAUAUCUUUAAGGAGGCGGAGACGUUUCUCAUGGCGGAUAUUUUCGGAGGUACCUCGAGUUACGUGGGGUACCUCUAAUUGUACGGGGUACCUCUAGUUACGUGGGGUACCCCCUAUUACGCGGGGUACCCCUAUUUGUAUGGGGUACCUCAUAUUAUAUGGGGUACCUCUAUUUGUGUGGGAUACCCCUAAUUGUGCAGGGUACCUCUAUUUACACGGUGUUCCUCAAGUCAUGCCGGGCACCUCGGAUUGUGCAGGGUACCCUCCGAUUGUGCUGAAAUCAUUCCAGUAAUAGUUUUGAGAUAAUGAAACAAUUUUUUUCCAUUUUUUUUUUAUCUCUAUCCGACUUAAGGGGUAUUAUCAUGUAUAUAAAUUGAAUCCGACAUGUUAAAUUUUUCUGUCAAUCAACGAAGUCAUUGCAUAGAUAAUUCCCCAGAUUUUCAAUGCAAAGAAAGCCUUGCUCAUGUUUGAAGAGGUUAAUGAGCAUAAUAUGAGGGACAAAAUUGAAAUCUAUGAAGAAUUACAGAACUAUAGAGUAAAACUAAACAAGAAUUAUUAUUGUAUUGCUGGAAAUGAGAAUGAACGUGUAAUAAAGAAGCAAGUAAUGCAAAUAUGACGAAAGUAAAACUGCCUGAUUAGUAAACACCAAACAUUUAGCCAAUGACGAAUAAGUUUUGGUACACAAGUCAAUUCGAAAAAGAUUACAGUGUAUUCAGUUGUUAGUAAUAGAAUUUUCAUUUUUCCUCAAUCUUCUCCAUGCAAUCUAUACACAGGUAACUUCAGUGUAAUUAGAAGAUCGAAAUGAACUAGUAGAAUAUUUAAGAAACAAAAUUCUUAAACAAGUCCUACUGGGUUCGGUUAGAAUGAACUAUAACUAUGGUUCUAGAUAAAUAUCAGAGGUUUAUAAGAUAAAAUAGUAUGCAAGUCACUGUAGAGUAUCUUGAGAGAAAGUUUUAACCAUGCUUGUAGGCAUCGAAUAAUAAUGGUAGAAAACAUUUUAAGGCCCAAUGAACAUGCAUAAAAAAUGGUAAUAAAUGCAUGGUAGGCUUACGGACAUGUCUAGAAUCAUCCGGUGCAAUGCUUUCAACCAACUUUGGCCCGGAUGAAAGAAACCCACGUCCUAGAGGACUGUAAGCAACAAUUCCAAUGCCAAGUUCCCUGAGCAGAGCAACCACCAAAAUUGCGUUAGCAUGCAAAUGUUAAAUCAUCUACUCAUAAUUUUUUUUCCUUUCAACUAGGUCAAAACAAUUCAUUUGGCCCAAAUAAUGUCUUACCUGCAAGUAGGAACAAUCUCUUCCUCCACAUCUCGUGACCACAAGGACCAUUCCAACUGCACAGCUGUUAUUGGAUGGACGGCGUGAGCUCGUCUAAUUGUUGAAGCAGAAGCCUCCGAUAGACCUAUAUACUUUAUUUUACCCUCUUCAACUAGUUUCUUGAGUUCCCCAAUCUUACAAAACAACACAAGUAAAAGAAUUAGUACAUGAUAACAGAAACCUCACCCACCGAAGUGACCCAUGUCUGUAUUUUUAAAUAUUCUGUGUUUCAUAUUCAUUGGCAGCCGAGCUACCCAGAGGCUAACAGACUAAUAUAGUUUAACAUGCAUGAUUGAGACAAAUAUAUAAAUUAAAAACGACAAACCGUGACUUCAAUGGGAACUUUAGUGUCAAUGCGAUGUUGGUAAUAAAGAUCAAUACAGUCAACAUCCAGACGCUUCAAGCUGGCCUCACAUGCAGCUCUUACAUAAGCAGGAUCCCCACAGUAUGAGUACUGGCCAUCCUCAUAUCUGAUACCAAAUUUAGUAGCCAAUUCAACUCUUCCUCUGUACCCUCCUUUCAGAGCCUAAUCCCAAAACCAAAUUAAUCAAAGCCAAUAUAUUAUUAUUUGCCAAUUCCAAAUAUACCCUUUUGAAAUUAAAGGAAGGAAAUAGAAGAUAAAUUAUAUUACCUUGCCCAGAAGGAUUUCAUUUGUGUGAGGUCCGUAAGAAUCGGAAGUGUCAAGUAAAGUGAUGCCACUGUCAAUGGCAUGGUGGAUCAAGGCUAUCAUAUCGGAUUCGGGCUUCGGGGGCCCGUAGAAGGCGGACAUGCCCACGCAUCCUAAGCCUUGCGCUGAAACCUCUAGACCUUGUGAACCCAGCUUGAUUCUCUUCACUGCCCCCGCCAUUUCUCUUCUAUUAGCCUCUCAACUUUCUGUUGAGUGAGGUUGCUGUUUCUAAGCGAACAAUCUAUAUAUGUAGAUAUAUUGCUCUGCGGGCCUCUCAAAACUCGUAAUGCUAACGUAAUGGAAUAUGUUAGCAUUUACCUCAUUAACUUUACAAAUCACACAAGAGAGUAGUUAGAUCAAUAAUCGAUACGUCAUAAUGUUAUUUAUUAAUUAUAGGAAAAAUGAUAAACACAACUCCAACAUUUAGAUAAAGGGACAAAAAAAAGUAAUUUUUUUUUUUUUUUUUGUGAAGCUUAAGGCCCUAUUUGGUAUUGUUUUCCAAAUGUUGUUUUCUUGAAAUAAAAAUAACAAUGAAAAUGUUAUUUUUAAAUUUUAAAAUAUAUUCAGUAUCAUUUUUGAAUACUUAUCUAGUAUUUUCUGAAUUUAGAAAAUAAAAAAUUAGAUUUGAAAACAAUAUUGUACGCACCCUAAUAUUUUAAUUAUCUCUUUUGAACUAUCUGGCUCUAUAGCAAUUUGUAAGGGAAAUAUUGUCUUUUGAUCAGUCUAUUAUCUUAGAACUAGGGUCUAAGGUCAUAUUUGGUAUUGAAGUAUGUACCUUUUGAGUUACAAUUGUUAUGAAAAAAAUACUGUAACUAUAAAGUAAAAGUUAAUAGUAUGUAAUAAAUAUAAUUUUUAAAUAAUAAUUUUUUAAAAAUGAGUAAAGAUAUAAUAAAUUUUUCAUCAUACAAGUAGAAAAUCAAAUCAAUUUAGUUUUCAAGCUAUACCAACUAGUGUUUAUCAAAUACUUUAAUGCUAUUUUUUUUAUCAAAUACUUUAGUGCUAUUCUUUUUACACUACAACCGUUCAACCUCAAUCCUAAAUAGGACAUAAGUAUGGAAAUUACUCGAUGAAUCAUCUUUUAAGUAUUUGAGUGAGAUAUUGUAGUGAUUUUUUUUUCUAAAUACUUGAAAAUUAAUCUAAUCUGCAAUGAGAUUCUUGCAGACUUCUUGUCGUAACUAUAUUGUCAAUAAUGAUAGUCACAUGCUUACAAUUUUUUUUAUGUGUUUUUUAAAGAAUGGGUAAAAUCCAAAUCAAUUUUUUUCUUAUAAUCUUUGUAAGAUUGGAACUCCAAUAGUCAAUCAAAUGAAACUAAUUAAAAAUUGGUUAAAUCCUUAGGUGGUCAAUCAAGUGCUUACAUGUAAUAACUAAAAUUAUAGAGAACUUAUAAUUACUUUUGUAAGCAACCCAAAGUAUAUUAAGACUAACUUGAAAUUCUAUCACGUCUUAGUAAAUACUCAAAAAAUUUACUUCAUACUGUUGAGAAAAUGAGUAAAAAAAAGCCAUGGAAUUCAAAUAGUGUCCUCAAUAUUAUUGUGAAUACCUGUCAGCAUUGAUUAAUUAGUCCAAUGGCUAUUUUUUUUUUUAGAAGAUAAGCAUGUAUUUGAUAUUAUUUAUGUUUUGCUAUUUUUCAUUUUCCAAGAAAAAAAAAAGUGUAAAAUUUGUUUGGUACACUUAUUUUAUGGUAUUUAAUUUCAAGUAAGAAUGUUUAAUCUCAUUCUCUAACUUUAGAGAAGAAAAUUGGACAACAAGGCAUUCAUGAUUUUCAAUUUUCAUUUUUUAAAUGGGUACUACAAGUACCACUUGAACAACAACAAAAUAAAAAUCAUGUCUGUCAUUAUGUGGGCCCAUUACCAAUAUUUAUUUUAUAAUCCAAUUCUAAUUAUCUUUAAUACUUUUUAAUUAUUUUUUAUUCAACAAUACUAAUUGUAUUAUUUGGUAAUUUUUAAAAGGUUCUCUAUUAGUAAAAUUUAUUUAUUAUUUAUUAUUUAUUCUAAUAUUAAUGAUACUCCCUAAAAAAUCAUUUUAUCUAAUUUUUUAUAAUUAAAAAUUUUAAAUAAUAAAAAGUAAUUGAAAUUUCAAAUAAUAAAAAAUUAAUUGAAAUAUAUUAUGAUUAAAAAUAAUUUUAGUUCAUCUAAAUAUUAUAUCAUAGUAUGUAUUUUUUUCUCACUCUCUUUUACCGUCUUCACUUUUUAAACAACUCAAACAUUUUGAAAUUUUCAUUUUAUAAGUAUAUUUUAGAAAGAAGGCUCAUUCUAUUAUGCCUUGAUUAACGUAACGGUAUCAAUACUGUAAUUAAACAUAAUUUAUGUAAAUAAAAUAUAAAACUUGUAAAUCAAUAUUAAUUGUAAAAUACAUAAAUUUUAGAAAUUAAACAUAAAACUUGUAAAUUGAAGGUAAAAUGAGUAAAUUAAUAUAAAACUCGUAAAUUGAUAUAUUAUUAGUAAAUAAAACAAAAACUUGUAAUAUAACAUAAAACUUGUAAAUUAACAUUAAGUGCAAAAUAAAGCACAAAUGUAAAUGGAGGAUAAAACAAGUAAAUUAAUAUAAAACUAGUAAAUUAAUGUAUUACUAGUAAACAAAACAAAAACUUGUAAAUAUAACUUAAAGCUAGUAAAUCAACAUUAACAAUAAAAUAAAGGGUCACCCUAUGUUAUGUUGAGUGUAACAUACACACACUCACAGCAACAGUAACAAGUCUCAUCAUUAACAUUGUUGCUGUGAGUGUGUGUAUGUUACACUCAACAUAACAUAGCAGUGGCCUAAAAUAAAACAAAAAUUUUAGAAAUGAAGUAUAAGACUUGUAAAAGGAAAGUAAAAACAAGUAAAUUACUAUAAAAUUAGUAAAUUUAUGUAUCAUUAGUAAGUAAAACGAAAACAUACAAAUAUAAUAUAAACCAAGUAAAUCAAUAUUAAGUGCAAAAUAAAACAUAAAAUUUGUAAACCAUGCUCAAAACUUAUGAAUAAAAGGUAAAAUAAGUAAAUUAAUCUAAGAGUUACUAACAAAAAAGCUCUUAUAAACUAAAAACUCAUUAUAAUAUUUAUUACCUUAUAUAUUUAAUGAUUUUUUUAAAUUAAAUUGCAUAAUGCUAGUUUUGCAUUUAUGUAGUACAUGUGAUGUUUUAUUAAGGAUGAAAUUUAUUCGCAGAAUUGGAUUUUGAAAAAAAAAACUAUUUUAAUAUCUUUCAUAGUUGUUGUAACAUGAGGUUAUUUUGCAUCCUUCUACACUUCUGCAACAACAACCCUAAAUGGUCUCUUAAGUACAAGUAAAAAGUUUGAAACUACAUGAAGCAUACAUAGAACUCAAAAUUAGAUAUAAUUUUAUUGAUAUAUCAUAUAUGUGUCUAGUAAUAUGAGAAUAAUUAUUUAUUUAUUUAUUCAUUUGCUUGAUCCACGUCUAGAUAAAUAAUUGCACUUAAUUAACUUGUGUAAUAAACAGAUAUCAUUAUAGAAAAUGGGAAAAAUUAUACAAAUGUCAUUAAAUAAAUAUAGAAUUUAUGGUUAAACCAAUUCAAUAAAAUAUAUUUCACUUUUUUUGUACAAUUUUUGUUUAAUUAAUGAGUAAUUUUUUCUUUAUAUUUUUGUAAAUGAAUACAAUAUUUUUCACUAAAAUUGUGCAGAAGCAAUGUUAAUUUUUUAAAUAAUUAAUAAUCUUGUAUGAAGUUACUUGUUUUACUUUAUAUUUACUAAUUUUAUAUGAAACUAGUAAAUAUAAAGUAAAGCAAGGAAAUUCAUACAAGAUUAUUAAUUAUUUAAAAAAUUAUAAAAACAUUAUUUGAAUGGCAAUACCAAUUGCACCCUAGUCCGUACAAUUUUACGUCAUUCAAUGUUGAUAACGUGGCUGGCACAAAGGCCAAAUCAAAGGCUGAGCGGGCAUCACAUGGGCCUUUGCCUGGAUCCUAACCUUCGCAAGCAAAGGCCCACGAUUCUAUCACCCAUUAAUCCUUCUAGAGAAUCUGCUAUAGAUGUAAAUGGACCCUCACUAUCUUUUUCACUGUUUUGAUUUUUCAAAAUUCCUUUUUUUUUAUUAAGUUUAAUGCAUUUUAUUAUCUCCCUGAAACUAUUUGGCUAUGGUAAUUGGCAAGGGGAAAAUUAUCUUUUAAACAUUCUAUUACCUUAAGACUACGGUCAAGUAUUGGAAACAUGGUGAAUCAUUUUUUAGGGAUUUCAGUCAACUUAUAAACAUUAUAGAGAUUGAUUUUUUUUUGCGAAAUAUGCGAAAAUAAAUGCAGCGCUACGAGGUUCUUGUAAACUAUUAAAUUCAAAUCAAUAAAAGUAGCAAUAAUAGCGUAAGUCCAGAAUCUAUCAUAUAUCAAUACCACUCUCAUACAGUUGUUGUUAAAUCAGGCCUAAAAAAUAUUUUUUUUUCUUUAAUUUAAUAAAAUUAUCAAAAGUCAGAUUUUUUUUUCUUGAUUACAUAAAAAUGCAUAAAAGUAGAGAAACACCUUAAAUUUCCUACUGAAGAUUUGAAGACAACUACUUUAAUUUUUUCCACUACCAUUAUUGGGAUCUGUAGGAUAUGGUUGUAGUUUUCUCGUCUAUCAUCAAUAGUCUCCCUCGCACAUGAGGGCAUAUAGAGAACUAUAAUUCCCAUUUCCUCUUCUUUAUAUAGGCACUUAUUAAAGUCAAGAUAUAACUAGAAACUAAGCUAACAAAGGGUAUCCAUGAACUUCCUAAAUCCAACUUCAUAGUUAAGUCUCAGUCAUAUUAUGACUCCCUAAAACAACUAAGUUAACCUUAAGCUAUUCUACUAAAAGUCUGAUGUCGCACUCUAAUGAACCAUGUAACAAAUAAAAGCCUAAUUAAUUAAGACUUCUUUUAAUUAAUAUUAGACAUGAUUUUAAACCAAUAAUUACCACUUAAUUGACUCUUUAUUUGAUCAUCUUAAUUAAAUCCAGCCCAUGAUAAAUUUUCUUUCUUUGUAAUUACAUAUAUAUCCCUUAGUCACAAUUUAUUCUAACUAUCACUGUUAAUAUAUUUGUAAAUAGAUUACAAAUAAAUGUGAUUAAUUAAUAAAUAAAUUAUUGAAUAAAUUAUAACCACAGAUUUAAAUGAUCAAUAUAGGGAUGGCAAAAUGCAAGCUUAGACUAGGCUUUUUCAAGCCCGUUAGAGGGAAAGUAUAAGGGCUAAGCUUGGGCCGGGGUUGGGUUGGGUUGGGUUGGGUUGGGCUUUCACUUAUUUUUUUCAUUUUUUAAAAAAAUUGUUAAAAACUUGAAAUGAAUUAAUAGUCAAUGAGUUGUUAUAAUCGGCAACGAAAUAAAGAAAAUGAAUGUUUCAAAAUAAAAUAAUAAAUAAAGAAAACACAACAAAAAAAAGUGUAGAGAUUUAAAUUUUUUAAUACUAGAUUUUUUAAUUCAAGUAUCUUCUUAAUUAAUUAACAUUUAAAAGAGAGUUUAUUAUUAUAAUUUUAGAUUUUUUGAUUCAUUAUUGAUAUAUAAAUUAGGGACUUAAGCUUUCUUUCUUUUUUCCAUUAUUUCAUAAAAGUUUAAUUUAUUAUUCAAAUUUCUAAUUUAUUUUUUGAAAAAAAAAUAGAGGGCGUGUGCCUAGAUUUUUUUUUACUUAAGCCCUUAUCCAGACCGUUCAUAUGGAGGCAUGAGCCAAAUCUCAUAGCAAUGGGCCGGGCUCAUCCCUAUGAUCAAAUACUACAAAUAGCUUAGGUAAGCAUCAUUUGUAUAGAUUCCAUCUUGUAAGUAUAUAUAUUUCUAUAAUCCAUGAAAUUAUAUCUCCAAAUUAUUAACGUUUUGACCGUUUAUACAAAUCUUACUUUGUGACGACUCAAAAGACAUAAUACCUGAAUGUGCGCUAGACUCCUUUACCCUUUAUUAGCGUUAUAUUACCCACUCAGAAUUAAGAUCGAUCAAGCUUAUUAAAGCUUGUAUAGAUUAUGAUUAGCAACAUAUGUUAGAUUAGAUCAUAAUUCAUUACAAUCUUGUUCAUUACAUAUAUAUCUCAUAUACAUACUAAUUUUUCUACUUGAAGUCUCUACUUCAGUAAUUAAGAUAAAGUUACUUAACAAUAAAAAUACAAAAUAUACAGCCUUAUAAAAAUAAAAUGACAUUUCAUUAAUGGAUGUGAAUAAUCUUUUAUUUUUAAAGAAUUUGUGAUUUUUAUCUUCUAUCUUGACAUCAUAUGUCCAAUAUAUAAAUCAAAUACUUUAUAAAUAAGGGCUAAUAAUGUAUGCUCAAAUAAAUAAUAAAUAAAUAAAUUUUAAUAAAUUCAGAAAUUUUUAUUUUAUUGCAUGCUGUAAGAGUACAAAAUAAUAAUGUACAAAAUAAUAAUAAGUGUACUAGUAAUUAUAUUGUCAAUAAUGAUACUCAAAUACUUAUAACUUUUUUUUUGUGUUUUUUUAAAAGUAAAGGGUGGUAAUACCAAAUCAGUUUUUUCGCAUCUAACCUUUGAGGAUUCGAACUCUAAUUACCAAACAAAUAAAACUACAUGGAAAUCAGCUAAGCCUAGGGCGGCCAAUCAAAUGCUUACAUGUACUAAGCAAAACAAAAGAGAACUUAUAAUUACUUUUGUAAACAACAAAAAGUAUAUUGAGACUGUUUAAAAAUCUAUUACGCCCUAGUAAAUACUCUAGAGUCUACUCCAUAUUAUUGAGGAAAAUGAUUGAAAAGAAAAAAAAUGGAAUUCAAAUUAUUAUCCUCGGUAUUAUUGAGAACAACUGUUACCAUUGAUCUACCAGCCCAAUAGCUAUUAUUAUUAGUUUUAUAUUAUAAUUCUCUACUGAAAAAUACAAUAUUAUCUCAUUUAGUGUUGAUGUAUGUGGCACAAAAACCAAAUCAAAGGCUACGCCACCUUCACCGGGGCCCUUGCCCAGGUCCCACCCACCACAACAAAAGGCCCGCAAAAAAUUGUUUAUAUUAUAUAUUUAUUGGGUAGUGAAUGGUGAUAUUUUUUAUUUCUUAAAAUACUAAUUAGAGACCAGGUUUGCCCAUACUCGCAUGUGUAAGAGAGAAUCCAUUAUUGAGAAGAAAUUAUCAGUUGGAUUUAGGAGGAGUUAUUUAUGAACAAUAAACUUUUGGCCAAAUAAUCCAAAUAUCAAACAAAUUUGAGGGAAUGCAAAGUGUAGACGAGUAAAAAUUCAAUAAAUGACUAAAGAUUCAAGAAAACAUGAGUAUUAUAAAACUGAUUAAAUUCAUAUUGAGUUUGAAGAUGGAAUAAAACACCAGUAUAAUUGUUUUCAAAUAAUCAUAUGUCUAUAAUUGUAAUUUAUGUUAUUGAUAUUUUAGUAACAAUUAAGUUUAUUAAAAUGUGAGUUUAAUGAGUAACCUAGAGGGUUAAUUAGCCUCAACCUUUAAAAGGUGUCAAAAGGCUACUCUUUGUAUAAUAUAAUAUACUCCACUUAAACUAACCCACUUAAUACUAAAAAUUAACCUUGUAAUGUUUUCUGAAUUAUUUUAGUGUUCAAUAUCAACAAUCAUGAUGUUUUUGAAUGAAACAUACAAAAUGUUUAUAAUGUAAAAAAGAAAUUAGGGUUAUAUGAUGUAAGAAAUUGUUGAACUAAUACAUGUAUAGAUGUAAAUAGGGUAGCAAAAUGAAUUCAUGAAUUAGGUUAAAAGUCGGUAAAUUCAAUAUAAUGAAUUGGGUUAGAAGUUUGAAACUCCAAAGUUUCUAACUUCGAUGUUUAAAUUACAAAUUCAUUAACAAUAGAAUAAACUAACCAUCCUAACUCUAAAAUUUCAACCGAACCAGUGAGCUUAAAUCCACAUUCAUAUUUUGAAUUAGGGUCCAGCUACAAUAAAAAUAUUGUUUCAUACACUAUUUUUUGUCUUUUUGUGAUCCAACCAUUGGAUUCAACUCAAGAGUUGCAAAAGCUAUUCCAACGGCAUGGAUGGACUUGCUUGGUUAUUAACGAUGCAGUCCCUUCUGUUUACUAAAAAAAAUAAGGAAAGAUUAAAUUUCAAAAUUUGACACAUUAGUCCAGUAAAAUAUUUUAUUGUAAAUGAACACAUUUAUAUAUUAAAAAUAUGGAUGGAUUAUUUUAAUUUGCUAAAACACUCUCCACUUCCAUUUACUUAAAAUACCAAUUGGAUUAUAAUAAUAUUAUCUUGUUUUUUGUGUAAUACAAUAUUGGAUAAGGUUUUAUAAAAUUUUUGACAAUAUCAAAAUGAAAAAUAAAUAAAUAUUAAAUAAAUACUUGGAUAGUCAUUUAAAUUUCAUUAUGGAGUUUAUAAAUAAUAUUUUCAAAAUAAUAAAUUUCUAUAUGUAAAUUUGAAAUUAUGUAAAAUUAUUUAUUCCUUAUUACACGUAUGAAGCUGAUUAAUUAUUUAUUUAAUGUGAAAACAAAUGCAUUGUAUAAUAUUUAUUCUAUUACUUAAAUUUAAAAUUAUAAAGAAUGAAACUUAAAUUUAAAAUUGUAAAGAAUGAAUAAUAACUUAAAUUAAUAGAUUAUGGGAGGAUACCUUUCAAAAAAAUUAAAAUUAACAAACUUUUUAGGCUUCUAACGUAACAUUUUUAAUUUUUGUUGUUAACAUAAGACAAAAAUUAAGUCUAAAAACCUCAUUCUAGGGUCUCCUUAGGGUAAAAAAAAAAAUCAUUAUCACAUGAUAAUUUGGUAGCCUAAGUUGUAUUAUUUUUAGUUUACUUAUUCAUGCCAAACACCUUAUUGAGAUUAAAUUUUAGUAAAGUAAACCCAUCCCACCAUCUUUAAUCACAUUCAAUAGGCCCUAAUUGAUUAGAUCUUGUUAUAUAAAGUAAUAUAUAACUCUUUCUUUAUUACAAUGGUAAAGAAAAAAAAACAUAAACACAAUAUAUUUCUUUUGAGAAAAUGCAAGUAUUAUGUUUUUUAGGUUUUGUGUUUAAGAAAUUAAUCUAAUUUAUGUAGUUAGAAGACUCUUAUUUUUUAUGUUUUAGAAGAAUUAUAUGUUUGAUAAUGAAUAAAUUAAGAUUUAAAGUAGGAAAACUAAUUUGAGAAGGAGAUAGAGAGAAUAAAUUUUUUAGAAUUUGAAAAUUAUUAUAUUUUAAUUGGGGCUUAUUACAUAAAAUUAUUAAAACAUAUGGUUUUUAUUAUUUAUAGAAAACAAUAGGGAUUGCUAAAGAAAACACUAAAUAAUUAUUUUAAUUUGAAAUUAUUAUAUUUUAAUUGGGGCUUAUUGCAUAAAAUUUUUAAAAUUUAUAGUUUUUAUUAUUUACAGAAAACUAUAGGGACUGUUAAAGAAAAUACCAAAUUUGAGGGUUUGGUACAACGGUUGCAAAGUAGUUUUGUCCUGAACUAGUGAGACUUUUUUUUUGGCAUAAUUAUAUUUAUUGUAUCAUUCAAUAAAUGGAUCUUAAAAAAAUAAACAAAUCAGUGGGACAUUCAAUUUGUUCACUUAACAAAUUCAAUCAAAAUUGUCCAUUUAUUAGACGAAUUAAUUUUUCAAACCUAAAUGCUUUUAAUUCAAAUAGAAUCAAUAAAUCCUUAUCUAUAUUAUUACCCCUAGAUGUAAACCCUUUUUAUGAGAAAAAAAAGGGUGUUUAUAUGAUAGAAGAAACUAUUGAAUUGUAUUUUUAAAUAUGUUAUAUAUUAUUGAUUUAUCUGUCAUUUUACUCUAGAGUGAAAUUGUAGCAAUAAAAAAUUGAGUAAAAUCUUUAAAUUUAUAUUUUUCAUGACUCACCGUAGAUUCUGGUAUUUCAUAGAUUAAUUCUUUAUUGGCUUAAAAAAAAUCCUACCCAAACUUAAAAAAUUAAGCUAAUAUAGACAUAACAUAAAAAUAAAUAAAUAUGAUAUAUAAUACAGAAUUUUGUAAAUUAUUUUUAAUGUUAAAUACAAGUAUUUUAAUAUUAUUGAUCUGCAAAAUAGAUUUUAUUAAAUUAAAACAUAUAUGAUAGAUUAAUAAUAUUAAAUUAAUUUUUUUAUUCAAAAUAAUUUAUAAAAUAUAUAACAAUUAUAUAUUAUAUUAUUUUAAUAUUAUAUUUUGUAUCUAUCUAUCAUAGAAGUUUAUUUAAAAUCAAUUUUUGGAUUGUUAAAAUCGAUGUGUAUAAUCAUCAAAAAACAUUUGUGUGAUUAUUUAUUAAACCAAGGAGGUCUAUAGCAACAUUUAUGUUCCCAAGGGGGUAUAUAUGCUUUUUUUCCCUGAUUUUUAGAUGAAUUAAUUCUUAAAUGUAUCUAUUUAUCAUUUACUGCAAAGAAGGUGAUCAAAUUAACCAUAAAAAAUACGCAAUGAAAUGUGUGAAAUGCCUGAAAGGCAAUAGGAACUGUGAAAAAUAUUUUUACGGAUUGGACUAGGCAAUGCGGGCCAAUAAUAUCUAGUCCAAAGAUGAGGCUGGGCCAAGUUUAAGUUUCACUUGAUAAAUUUAGAUUCGUCCAAAAACCUGAAUUUUAUGAAAAAAUAUUAUAAAAUACAUUAUUUUAAAUAACUAUAUUUAUUUGACCCAUAGAUUAUACAUAUUUAAAAUUUUAAAUAUUUAAAGUUCAUAUUUGAAAACCCAAAUUCAUUAAAUAAAAUUUAAAAAUCAUAAAACUAAAAUAGGUCCCUACAGCGCAACCCGCUUAGGUCGAAAGCCAUCCCAGCCUGGGCCAUUUGGGUCUUUGCAUUAACCUCAAAAGGAUAAAAAGUGCAUGAGGUAUAGGUGGGGGUGUUCGCGGAUCGGAUUUUACGAAUUGGACAUCAAUCCAUAUCCGAUCCAUGAUUUUGCGGAUUAUAAUUUUUUAAUCCAAUCCAAUCCAUAAAUUGAUAAAAUUCAAUCAAAAUCCAAUCCAUACAUCUGCGGAUCGGAUGCGGAUUUGACUCAAUCCAUAUCCAAUCCAUACGUCUGCGGAUCGGAUGCGGAUUUGACUCAAUCCAUAUCCAAUCCAUUUUGCGCAUUAGUUUUCGAAUUAAAAUUUUUUAGUUCUCUCCAACUAAUGAAAUAAAAAAAAAUCUAAUAUAAAAAUAAUUUUGCUACCAAUUAAAUUUAAAAUUGAAUAAAAUUUAAAUAAAUUAAUUAUUUAAAUAGAGUUAAAAUAAUACAUUUAAAGUUUCAAAAUAUAACAAUCGAGACUAAUUAUUUAAAUAAAGCUACAAUAAUACGUUCAAAGUUUCAAAAUAUAACACACCAAGCUUAAUUGUUCAAAUAAAGUUACAAUAAUACGUUAAUAUAACACCGAAAUUAAUUGUUCAAAUAAAGCCACAAUUAAUUGAAAUGGCGAAGUUUUGGAAACCAAACACGGUCUGAUCCUUCACUAGGGUUGUUGCGCCUGUUGAAAAGUGGUGAUUACUGAGCCGUCCACGAUGGGAACCAGGAGAAGCCGUACGGGUGGCGAUCUUGAAGGUUGUGAUAGUGAAAUUGUUCAGCUGGAACCAGUGAAUGUGAAGUGGCUCGAUGGACUUGGGAAAGAAGAUGGCUUGCUCUCACUGGGAUCGCACGGCCGAUGUCCUUCAAAUCCGUGUCGAGAGUGUAUCCAACCAGUAUUGAGUGUUGUUAGUGUGCGUGACGACGGAGAAGCUUAGGGUUUUUUGUUUGCAAAUUGUUGGUGACUUGACAACAUGUUAUUUUACUUUUGGGUGACUUUGCAAAUUGUUGGUGACUUGACGUUAUGUUACUUUACUUUUGUUAGUGCGUGUGACUUUGCUUUUAUUUUGUUUUACAAUUUUUACACGUUAUAUUUGUAUAUUUGAUUAUUUAAUUAUUUUUUAUUUUUUAUUAUUAUUGGGUAAUGGCUAAGAUAUGUUAUAGUGCUUAUGUAACUAUGUAAUGUCACAUUUAUAAUUUUUUUAAUUAAAUUUAUAAUAAUUUUUUAAUUAUCUAUAUAUAUAUAUAUAUAUAUAUAUUAUUUUAUUUUUUUUGUGCGGAUUCACGGAUUUUUACAGAUUUACAGAAGUAAAUUCAUAUCCAAUCCAUCAAUCCACGGAUCGGAUUUAUACGAAUCGGAUUGAGUGGAUCAGACGGAUUGAGUGGAUCGGAUUGGAUUCUGAACACCUCCAGGUAUAGGUUUUAACCGAAAGAACUUCUUGCGCAAUUCAUGCGUUUCUGCUUUUAUGACCAGAAAUUGUUUCUUGAUUUGAUUUCCAUUUCAAAUUGUUCUCUGGACUUUUUAUCAAUAUGAGGUGAUUGCAAAUAAACAUAUAUAAUAUUAUAAAAUAUAAAUCUGGAUUUUUUAAGCCCAUAAAAGAAAGUCCAUUUGGGGCCGAGAUUUUAGGCUCAACCUCAGUGUUCAAAAAAACAUGCUUGGGCCAAAUUUGAGUAUUGCCAUAUCCGGGACCGACUUGAGUUUUUACCAUGACUAAGCAUAAUCAAUUGGUUCAAAUAAUUUAAUUUCCGGUAAAAUGAUGUGAAAAAUUGUGAAUCAAUUUGGUAAUCUCGUAGAGGCCACUUUGUAACACAGUAAAAGUAUUCAAUUGAUCUGAAAUCAUUGAAUAAUUUUUUGUUGAGGAAGGAUGUCACGUACAACAACAAGAAACAUAUAAUGCUACAAUAAAUUUAGAUCAGCAAUAAUGUUUAGGAUCCUAACAUUUGAGUCUCAACUUGACUCUCAAUGAUAUGUGUCACUCAUCAAUUGAAUAAUGGAUAUAAUAUCUAGUAAAAUUAUUUAACCACCAUUCAAUAGAUGAAUUCCACGUCAGUAGGAACUCAAAUUAAGACUUAUGUUGGGACAUCUAGCAUUGCUCUUCACAUCAGUGGUGAGGCUCCAAGUGGGUUGGGAAAUUUUUAGAAAAUUUACAAAAAUAUCAUAAUGCAAAGUUUAUAAAAUUGCCACUAUUUUAUUUACAGUAGUACCACUCUAUUAAUUUACAAUUUUGUCAUUCAAAUAAAUAUACAGAAAAAAGGGAGCAUUUACUUCAUUCAAGAUUCCAGAACGUGCUUUCUUUCUUGGCUUCUUCAGUUCUUCGUCUUCUUCUUGACAAGAAUAGAUAAUACAUUUAUUGUUUAUUCAAUCAUUUACAGUACACUUAUUAAUUGUUAGGUAGUAAAGACUAAAGAUUAUAUUAUUUAAUUCUUGUUCCAAUUUCAUUGUGUAAAAUUAAAUUAUUGUUGGGUCAAAUGAAGAUAAUUUAGCCAUUAAAUUCUAGCAUUCAAAAAUUUAAAUUAAUUAUUGAUAGAGAUGGAUCAUAGAUUCAAUUCAGUACAUUAUACAUAAAGUUAAUUUGUUAAUUGAAUUUAUUGUUUGGCUUCUGGAUAGUGUUAAUGUGUCGUAGUGACAGAUUGACGGUUCUAUGACUUUUAUUAGUAAAUUUGUGAUUAUUUCUUCUAACUUCUUUUAUAUUUAUACCAUGUUUUGACUGAAACACCCAAACGAGCAUAGACACGACUUCAAAAUAAGGAAGAGAAUGAAUUUUUAUCAAAUUGUAUAGUUAUCUACGUUAAAAGAGAAUUUGUAAACACCGUUAAUUUAAAUUCGAUAAUAGAUGGAUUUAAUUCUCGAAAGUAUGGUAAAUUACUUCUUAGACAUGAUAUAUUUUCUUAUGUAUAACAAAAUUUUCUUUCAAAUUUAUAUUUUUAACCAAGAUAAUAUUUGGAUUUGGAAAAAAUUUAGCCUACCCAAGAUAUUUUUUCUGGCUUCGCCCCUGAUUCAGAUCAUCUAAACUUCCAGAAAUUUCAGAUAAAUAUUACUCCAUUUUGAUUUGUUAUUGUUUCUCAUAUAUUUGCAUAAACACAUUACAUUGUUUUUGCGCUCACUGCAGAAGAUACAAUGAUUUAGUUUUACUUACAACACUGCAUAGGAACUCAAUACAAUAUUCACUAAAUGCUUGUGGAAAGUGCAGAAAGGUACUGAUAGGGUCUCGUAUGAGAACACAAUGAUUUUACCCACAACAGAACCUAGGAACUACAUGCAAUUGCAAAAUCGGUACUAAGAAGCAGAAUACCAAUGCCCUUUAUGAAGGUUUCCACGAAGACAGAGGUGGAGUUUCAGAGUCUUCGUAGGUAGGAGUGACACCCCCAUACCGAUGACCCCUUACAGCAUCUGCUGAAGCAAUAGAUUCAAGCUCAGCCAUUUCUUCUGGAGAAAGUUUCACUGACAGAGCUUUAAUAUUUUGAUUGAGGUUUUCAAUCUUGGUGGUUCCAGGAAUCGGACACACGUCAUUUCCUUGGUGAUGAACCCAUGCUAAUGCAAGCUGAGAUGGGGUGCAUCCUUUCUUUACUGCUAUUUCAUUAACACGUUCAAAUAGCUUUUUGUUAUGCUCUAAAUUUUCAGGUUGGAACCUCGGUAGAUGCUGCAAGAUUUAGAAAACAGCUCAGUACCAAAACUGAACUGCAAUUGAAUCAUUAAAAAAAAGAACAUCAUUUUGGAUAAGAGUAAUGAUACAGCCACAAACUCUUGUACAAACUUAUUUUGUACAAACUGAUGUGGCAUGAUAAGAUUGGUUGAAUUAAAUAUCACUUGGCCCACAUGAUUUAUUUUUAUUAAUUUAUAUUUUCAUUCAACCAAUCUUAUCAUGCCACGUCAGUUUGUACAAAAUAAAUUUGUACAAGAGUUUGUGGCUGUAUCAUUACUCUUUGGAUAAAGCAUGAUUUUAGAGGAGGUUUAUGUAAAAUUCAAUAGACCAGAAAACAAAGAAAAAGGACUAGUCGGGGACUUCUCCUAGGUGGAGGAUGUUUAUAGUAAAACAUUUUGGCAUGUUAGACAAAGGUCUCACAAGAAAUAAACUCUCCUUGGACUUGUCAAUUGAUUUCACAUUGACGUGCAUAGGCAAAGCAAUAUAACAAAAAUGGAAACUGCCACAAGGAUGUAGAAGUUUGGAAGAGUCAUUACAGCUAAACUUCUUGAGCAUCCAGUAAUAGUUUUGAGGUAAUGGAACAAUUUUUUUCCCUCAUUUUUUUUUUCACCUCUAUACAACUUAAGGGGUAUUAUCAUGUAUAUAAAUUGAAUCAGUCAUGUUAAAAUUUUCUGUCCAUCAAUGAAGUAAUUGCAUAGAUAAUUCCUCAUAUUUUCAAUGCAAAGAAAGCUUUUGCUCAUAUUUGAGGAGGUUAAUGAACAUAAUCUGAGGGAAACAAUUGAAAUCUAUGAAGAAUUUCAGAGCUAUAGAGUAAAACUAAACAAGAAUUAUUAUUGUAUUGCUAAAUGAGAAUGAAUGUGUAAUAAAGAAGACAAGUAAUGUAAAUAUGAUGAAAGUAAAAAUACACGAUUAGUAAACACCAAACAUUUAGCUAAUGAUGAAUAAGUUUUGGUAGACAAGUCACUUCAAAAAGGAUUACAGUGUAUUCAGUCCUUAGUAAUUGAAUUUUCAUUUUUCCUCAAUCCUCUCGAUGCAAUCCAUACACAGGCAACUUCAGUGUAAUUAGACGAUCGAAAUGAACUAGUAGAAUAUCUAAGAAAGAGAAUUCUUAAACAAGUCCUACUGGGUUAGGUUAGAAUAACUAUAACUAUGGCUCUAGAUAAAUAUCAGAGGUUUAUAAGAUAAAAUAGUAUGCAAGUCACUGUAGAGUAUCUUGAGAGAAGGUUUUAAACAUGCUUGCAGACAUCGAAUAAUAAAUGCAUGGUAGGCUUACGGACAUGUCUAGAAUCAUCCGGUGCAAUGCUUUCAACCAACUUUGGCCCGGAUGAAAGAAACCCACGUCCUAGAGGACUGUAAGCAACAAUUCCAAUGCCAAGUUCCCUGAGCAGAGCAACCACCAAAAUUGCGUUAGCAUGCAAAUGUUAAAUCAUCUACUCAUAAUUUCUUUUCCUUUCAACUAGGUCAAAACAAUUCAUUUGGCCCAAAUAAUGUCUUACCUGCAAGUAGGAACAAUCUCUUCCUCCACAUCUCGUGACCACAAGGACCAUUCCAACUGCACAGCUGUUAUUGGAUGGACGGCGUGAGCUCGUCUAAUUGUUGAAGCAGAAGCCUCGGAUAGACCUAUAUACUUUAUUUUACCCUCUUCAACUAGUUUCUUGAGUUCCCCAAUCUUACAAAACAACACAAGUAAAAGAAUUAGUACAUGAUAACAGAAACCUCACCCACCGAAGUGACCCAUGUCUGUAUUUUUAAAUAUUCUGUGUUUCAUGUUCAUUGGCAGCCGAGCUACCCAGAGACUAACAGACUAAUAUAGUUUAACAUGCAUGAUUGAGACAAAUAUAUAAAUUAAAAGCGACAAACCGUGACUUCAAUGGGGACUUUAGUGUCAAUGCGAUGUUGGUAAUAAAGAUCAAUACAGUCAACAUCCAGACGCUUCAAGCUGGCCUCACAUGCAGCUCUUACAUAAGCAGGAUCCCCACAGAAUGAGUACUGGCCAUCCUCAUAUCUGAUACCAAAUUUAGUAGCCAAUUCAACUCUUCCUCUGUACCCUCCUUUCAGAGCCUAAUCCCAAAACCAAAUUAAUCAAAGUGAAUAUAUUAUUAUUUGCCAAUUCCAAACAUACCCUUUUGAAAUUAAAGGAAGGAAAUAGAAGAUAAAUUACAUUACCUUGCCCAGAAGGAUUUCAUUUGUGUGAGGUCCGUAAGCAUCGGAAGUGUCAAGUAAAGUGAUGCCACUGUCAAUGGCAUGGUGGAUCAAGGCUAUCAUAUCGGAUUCGGGCUUCGGGGGCCCGUAGAAGGCGGACAUGCCCAUGCAUCCUAAGCCUUGCGCUGAAACCUCUAGACCUUGUGAACCCAGCUUGAUUCUCUUCACUGCCCCCGCCAUUUCUCUUCUAUUAGCCUCUCAACUUUCUGUUGAGUGAGGUUGCUGUUUCUAAGCGAACAAUCUAUAUAUGUAGAUAUAUUGCUCUGCGGGCCUCUCAAAACUCGUAAUGCUAACGUAAUGGAAUAUGUUAGCAUUUACCUCAUUAACUUUACAAAAUCACACAAGAGAGUAGUUAGAUAAAUAAUCGAUACGUCAUAAUGUUAUUUAUUAAUUAUAGAAAAAAUGACAAACACAACUCUAACAUUUAGAUAAAGGGAUAAAAAUGUCUCUAACGUUUUGAAAAAGAAAUUUACACCUCUAUUCACUAAUGAAAACAAUUACUUUUAACGAAAAUAGUAAUUUUAAUAUAUAAUUACCGUUAUACUAUUUUAGCACAUAAAAAUAUAAUUAUUAAUUAUCUGAUUUGUCCAUAUAUUGUUAAUAAAAUUACAAAAAUACUCUCAUUGACCAAUUCCUCUAUUUAAUUUUUUAUCAAAUUAUCUCUUCAAGCCAAAUAAAUUUAAUCCAUUAUCAAUUUUUAUGUCUAUUGGAUAUGUUAUUUAAUACAAUUAAGAUAAGAUUUUUGUAAUUAUUGUUGUAACCAGCCCUUUUUAUUUUAUUUUGUUGAUUAUACAAGUUAAAAUGAUUGACAUGUAGAGAAUUGUUAUUCUUAUGGCAUUAAUAACUAAUUUUAUUUAUUUUUAUUCUUGAGUAAUGGAUUAAAUUUAUUUGGCUUGAUGAGAGAAUUUGAUAAAAAUUUAAACAAUUAUUUGAGCAAUGAGGGUAUAUUUAUAAUUUUAUUAACAAUAUAUGGACAAAUUGGACAAUUAACAAUUAUUUUUUUAUGUGUUAGAACGGUAUAACGGUAAUUAUCUAUUAAAAUUACUAUUUUCGUUAAAAAUAAUUGUUUCUAUUAGUGAAUGGGGACGUAAAUAUCUUUUUUAAAAUGUUAGAAAAUUUUUAUCCCUAUGUCUAAAUAUUGAGGGUGUGUUAGUCAUUUUCCCUUAAUUAUAUUACUGGCAUAAUGCUUCACAAAUAUUUUAAAAUCUUUCCAAUCGAACAAUUAAAAGUUGGCCCAAACUGGCGGCUAAGGGCUGUCAAAUUAACAAGAUGUGGGAGUAUGAUUUUAUCAUAUCAUGAUAAUGGAAGCACUUGAGAAGCCAGGUCUUUCAUGGGACCAAAAGAAAUAUUGGCUUCUACUCAAGUUGGUUGCUUCCUUGGCUUGAGACCUGUAAAGCUGGAACUUGUUCAACAAAGACUUGGCAAAAUCCAUUGCCUUUAAUCUGUUUUUAACAUAAAGUAUAAUAACAUGGCCAGUGGCAAAUUGGGAAUGUCAACUAGUAUCCACUAUUUAUUUGAUUAUUUCUAUGAUUUUAAGAUCUGCCCUUGGAAUCUGGACUUUGUGGUGCUGGAUGUAUUUGAUUAUAUAAAUGUACUAAUAUCGCUCUCAUGAGAUGAUUACUGAAUUUGAGUGGACCAAAAAAGUUAAAAGAUUAAUAAAUUAAUUAAAUUGGAGAUUUGGAGUCAUAAUCAAGUGUUUGCAUGGUGGUCGUGGAAAUAUUUUGGAUCCCACCGUGGAUUUACAAUAUAAAUGUUGAAGGCGCUGUUGAUCCCACUGUCCCACAUGGCAUGACUUUGCAACAUCUCAUCUGCUUUAUAUUAGAAAUCCUAGAAAUUAACCAGAUGUGGGAGUAAUAAUAAUUCUCCACUAAAAAAGCCAAAUCCAGGGCUGCGCCGGCUUCGCCUGCACCACGAGCAAAGGCCCACUUAUUUGCGUCACCCAUUACAGCAUCUGAUAUGGAUUAAACCCAAACACUUAAAGUAGGAUUUAGUUCAAAAAGUUUUAAUUUAAGUUGGAGUAUUUAUUUUUCUUUUUUUUCAAUGUUUAUAAUGAGGUUCAACAUUUAAAAUAAACAACAUAUUACUAUUAUUUUUAAAAUUUAAGAGGAAAAAUAGAAUUUGAGUUUUUGAGAAUGAAAUAUAUAGAGAAAUAAAAUUAUAUGGCUAUUGAAAUUUGAACCAAGUCUCUAAAAUCACUAAAAAGCACAAUUAUCACUAAAUUAUAAGUAUUUUGUUAUAUAAAAAAUAUGCCCAAAUUCUUUUUAUUUAAUUUUUUUAGAAAGAGCUCAGGGUACAUUUUAAAGGAAAAGUAAUGGUCUAGGAAAGGCUUCAUAAUUGCCCAGGAGGAGCCGCCCAUGACUGUCACUAUCUUUCAAAAAAUUUUGACAAAAAAAAGUAAUUUUUAUUUUUUUUUUGUGAAGCUUAAGGCCCUAUUUGGUAUUGUUUUCCAAAUGUUGUUUUCUUGAAAUAAAAAUAAGAAUGAAAAUGUUAUUUUUAAAUUUUAAAAUAUAUUUAGUAUCAUUUUUGAAUACUUAUCUAGUAUUUUCUGAAUUUAGAAAAUAAAAAAUUAGAUUUGAAAACAAUAUUGUACGCACCCUAAUAUUUAAAUUAUCUCUUUUGAACUAUCUGGCUCUAUAGCAAUUUGUAAGAGAAAUAUUGUCUUUUGAUCAUUCUAUUAUCUUAGAACUAGGGUCUAAGGUCAUGUUUGGUAUUGAAGUACUGCACCUUUUGAGUUACAAUUGUUAUGAAAAAAAUAUUGUAACUAUAAAGUAAAAGUUAAUAGUAUGUAAUAAAUAUAAUUUUUAAAUAAUAAUUUUUUAAAAAUUAGUAAAGAUAUAAUAAAUUUUUCAUCAUACAAAUAUAAAAUCAAAUCAACUUAGUUUUCAAGCUAUACCGGCCAGUGUUUACCAAAUACUUUAAUGCUAUUCUUUUUACCAAAUACUUUAGUGCUAUUCUUUUUACACUAUAGUCGUUCAACCUCAAUCCCAAAUAGGACAUAAGUAUGAAAAUCACUCGAUGAAUAAUCUUUUAAGUAUUUGAGUGAGAUAUUAUAGUGAUUUUUUUUUUCUAAAUACUUGAAAAUUAAUCUAAUCUGUAAUGAAAUUCUUGCAGACUUCUUGUCGUAACUAUAUUGUCAAUAAUGAUAGUCACAUGCUUACAAAUUUUUUAUGUGUUUUUUAAAGGAUGGGUAAAAUCCAAAUCAAUUUUUUUCUUAUAAUCUUUGUAGGAUUCGAACUCCAAUAGUCAGUCAAAUGAAACUAAUUAAAAACUGGUUAAAUCAAGUGCUUACAUGUAAUAACUAAAAUUAUAGAGAACUUAUAAAUACUUUUGCCCAGAAGGAUUUCAUUUGUGUGAGGUCCGUAAGAAUCGGAAGUGUCAAGUAAAGUGAUGCCACUGUCAAUGGCAUGGUGGAUCAAGGCUAUCAUAUCGGAUUCGGGCUUCGGGGGCCCGUAGAAGGCGGACAUGCCCAUGCAUCCUAAGCCUUGCGCUGAAACCUCUAGACCUUGUGAACCCAGCUUGAUUCUCUUCACUGCCCCCGCCAUUUCUCUUCUAUUAGCCUCUCAACUUUCUGUUGAGUGAGGUUGCUGUUUCUAAGCGAACAAUCUAUAUAUGUAGAUAUAUUGCUCUGCGGGCCUCUCAAAACUCGUAAUGCUAACGUAAUGGAAUAUGUUAGCAUUUACCUCAUUAACUUUACAAAAUCACACAAGAGAGUAGUUAGAUAAAUAAUCGAUACGUCAUAAUGUUAUUUAUUAAUUAUAGGAAAAAUGACAAACACAACUCCAAUAUUUAGAUAAAGGGACAAAAAUCCCCCUAGCAUUUUAAAAAAUACAUUUACACCCCUAUUCACUAAUGAAAACAGUUACUUUUAACGAAAAUAGUAAUUUUAAUAUAUAAUUAUCGUUAUACCAUUCUAGCAUAUAAAAAUAUAAUUGUUAAUUAUCUAAUUUUUCCAUAAAUUAUUAAUAAAAUUAUAAAUAUGCCCUCAUUGACCAAUUCCUCUGUUUAAUUUUUUAUCAAAUUAUCUCUUCAAGCCAAAUAAAUUUAAUCCAUUAUCAAUUUUUAUGUCUAUUGGAUAUGUUAUUUAAUACAAUUAAGAUAAGAUUUUUGUAAUUAUUGUUGUAACCAGCCUUUUUUUUUAUUUUGUUGAUUAUACAAGUUAAAAUGAUUGACAUAUAGAGAAUUGUUAUUCUUAUGGCAUUAAUAACUAAUUUUAUUUAUUUUUAUUCUUGAGUAAUUGAUUAAAUUUAUUUGGCUUGGUGAGAGAAUUUGAUAAAAAUUUAAACAAUUAUUUGAGCAAUGAGGGUAUAUUUAUAAUUUUAUUAAUAAUAUAUGGACAAAUUAGAUAAUUAAUAAUUAUUUUUUUAUGUGUCAGAAAAGUAUAACGGUAAUUAUAUAUUAAAAUCACUAUUUCCGUUAAAAAUAAUUGUUUCCGUUAGUAAAUAGGGGUGUCUUUUUUAAAAUGUUAUGAAAUUUUUAUUCCUUUACCUAAAUAUUGAGGGUGUGUUAGUCAUUUUUCCUUAAUUAUAUUACUGGUAUAAUGCUUCACAAAUAUUUUAAAAUCUUUCCAAUCGAACAAUUAAAAGUUGGCCCAAACUGGCGGCUAAGGGCUGUCACAUUAACAAGAUGUGGGAGUAUGAUGACUGACUCACAGCGGGCCUCACAAACUCGUAAUGUCAAUAAUGUAAUGGAAUACGUCUAGAUCUAAUGAACGAUCAAUUAAAUGGUUAUAUGUAAUAAUUAAUAUUAAAGAGAAUUUAUGAUUGCUACCAAAAAUAUAUUGAGGACAACUUGAAAAUCUACUACGGUCUUAUAAUUAAAAAAAAAUGAAUUUUUAGAGAAUAAUAAUUCUCCACUAAAAAAGCCAAAUCAAGGGCUGCGCCGGCUUCGCCUGCACCACGAGCAAAGGCCCACUUAUUUGCGUCACCCAUUACAGCAUCUGAUAUGGUCCAGGGAUGGCAAAAUUUUUCAGACCCGGCCCGGAUCCAGAUAAAUCCGGACGAUCCGGUCCGGGUUAAACCCGCUCUGGGUGCAUAAAAAUACAGAUUCGAGUAGUAUUUUUUUAAAUCCGGAUACAUGCGAGUCCGGUUGCGGAUACCCGGAUUCUGAGAACCCGGACCUGCACUACAGUAUUAAUAAUUAAUUAAUUAAUUUUUAUUAUUAAAUAUAAAUAUAAAAGCCAAAAGUUAAAAAAAAAAAAAGUAAAGAAAUGAAAAGAAACCCUAAAUCCCCACCCCAGCCACCACCUUUAUUGUCCUCUUCCUCGACAUCAAUUCAAUUCAUCAUCAUCCACCCAUCAUCAAUUCAUCAUCAACAAUAAUAACAAUCAAUAUCAUCCUCAACAUCAAUUUAAAUCAUUGUCAAUUCAUCAUCAAAAGCAACAAACAAUCUUUGGCACCAUCAAAUUCAACCUUAUCUCUCAUCUCUCAUCAAAUUCGAUCUCAUUUCUCUCUUGUUCUUGGAUGCUAGAUCUCAACCCUUGCUCGCUGCUCUCAUGGCUGCCGCCUCCUGGACUCGCUGGUGCCUCAACCGACACCUCAAAGAAACUGCUAAUCCACUCUUGCCGCCGCGCGAUCUCAUCUCUCUCUUGUUCGUGGAUGCUGGAUCUCAAACCUUGCUCACUGCUUUCAUGGCCGCUGCCUCCUGGACUCGCCAGUGUCUCAACCGACACCUCAAAGAAACAUCUAAUCCACUCUUGUACAGAGUCAAAAGGGGCAUGCAUAAAGGCUUCAUUGUUCCAGCCUCCAACUUUCCGGGUUUAAAGCCCGCAAUCGGGAAACCCGGAUUUUCCGGGUUGAACCCGUACCGGACCCGGAGAAAGAAAAUGCGGGUUUUUAUCCGGAGCCGGGAAGGAGAAUUGGCAUAUGGGUCCGGAACCGGAAAUACCAAACACGGACCCGGACCCGUUUUUGCCAUCCCUAGAUAUGGAUUAAACCCAAACACUUAAAGUAGGAUUUAGUUCAAAAAGUUUUAAUUUAAGUUGGAGUAUUUAUUUAUUUAUUUUCAAUGUUCAUAGUGAGGUUCAACAUUUAAAAUAAACAACAUAUUACUAUUAUUUUUAAAAUUUAUGAGGAAAAAUAGAAUUUGAGUUUUUGAGAACGAAAUAUGUAGAGAAAUAAAAUUAUAUGGCUAUUGAAAUUUGAACUGAGUCUCUAAAACCACUAAAAAGUACAAUUAUCACUAAAUUACAAGUAUUUUGUUAUAUAAAAAAUAUGCCCAAAUUCUUUUUAUUUAAUUUUUUUAGAAGGAGCUCAAGGUACAUUUUAAAGGAAAAGUAAUGGUCUAGGACAGGCUUCAUAAUUGCCCAGGAGGAGCCGCCCAUGACUAUCACUCUAUCUUUCAAAAAUUUUUGACAAAAAAAAGUAAUUUCUUUUUUUUUUUUUGUGAAGGUUAAGGCCCUAUUUGAUAUUGUUUUCCAAAUGUUGUUUUCUUGAAAUAAAAAUAACAAUGAAAAUGUUAUUUUUAAAUUUUAAAAUAUAUUCAGAAUCAUUUGUGAAUACUUAUCUAGUAUUUUCUGAAUUUAGAAAAUAGAAAAUUAGAUUUGAAAACAAUAUUGUCCGCAUCCUAAUAUUUUAAUUAUCUCUUUUGAACUAUCUGGCUCUAUAGCAAUUUGUAAGGGAAAUAUUGUCUUUUGAUCAGUCUAUUAUCUUAGAAUUAGGGUCUAAGGUCAUGUUUGAUAUUGAAGUACUGUACCUUUUGAGUUACAGUUGUUAUAAAAAAAAAUGUUGUAAUUAUAAAGUAAAAGUUAAUAGUAUGUAAUAAAUAUAAUUUUUAAAAAUAAUUUUUAAAAAAGUAGUAAAGAUAUAAUAAAUUUUUCAUCAUACAAGUAUAAAAUCAAAUCAAUUUAGUUUUCAAGCUAUAUCAGCUAGUGUUUACCAAAUACUUUAGUGCUAUUUUUUUUACCAAAUACUUUAGUGCUAUUCUUUUUACACUACAACCGUUCAACCUCAACCCUAAAUAGGACAUAAGUAUGGAAAUUACUCGAUGAAUCAUCUUUUAAGUAUUUAAGUGAGAUAUUGUAGUGAUUUGUUUUUCUAAAUACUUGAAAAUUAACCUAAUCUGCAAUGAGAUUCUUGCAGACUUCUUGUCGUAACUAUAUUGUCAAUAAUGAUAGUCACAUGCUUACAAUUUUUUUUAUGUGUUUUUUAAAGGAUGGGUAAAAUCCAAAUUAAUUUUUUUCUUAUAAUCUUUGUAGGAUUGGAACUCCAAUAGUCAAUCAAAUGAAACUAAUUAAAAAUUGGUUAAAUCCUUAGGUGGGCAAUCAAGUGCUUACAUGUAAUAACUUAAAUUAUAGAGAACUUAUAAUUACUUUUGUAAGCAACCCAAAGUAUAUUAAGACUAACUUGAAAUUCUAUCACGUCUUAGUAAAUACUCAAAAAAUUUACUUUAUACUGUUGAGAAAAUGAGUAAAAAAAAGCCAUGGAAUUCAAAUAGUGUCCUCAAUAUUAUUGUGAAUACCUAUCAGCAUUGAUUAAUUAGUCCAAUGGCUAUUUUUUUUUAGAAGAUAAGCAUGUAUUUGAUAUUAUUUAUGUUUUGCUAUUUUUCAUUUUCCAAGAAAAAAAAACAGUGUAAAAUUUGUUUGGUACACUUAUUUUAUGAUAUUUAAUUUCAAGUAAGAAUGUUUAAUCUCAUUCUCUAACUUUAGAGAAGAAAAUUGGACAACAAGACAUUCAUGAUUUUCAAUUUUCAUUUUUUAAAUGGGUACUACAAGUACCACUUGAACAACAACAAAAUAAAAAUCAUGUCUGUUAUUAUGUGGGCCCAUUACCAAUAUUUAUUUUAUAAUCCAAUUCUAAUUAUCUUUAAUACUUUUUAAUUAUUUUUUAUUCAACAAUACUAAUUGUAUUAUUUGGUAAUUUUUAAAAGGUUGUCUAUUAGUAAAAUUUAUUUAUUAUUUAUUCUAAUAUUAAUGAUACUCCCUAAAAAUCAUUUUAUCUAAUUUUUUAUAAUUAAAAAUUUUAAAUAAUAAAAAGUAAUUGAAAUUUCAAAUAAUAAAAAAUUAAUUGAAAUAUAUUAUGAUUAAAAAUAAUUUUAGUUCAUCUAAAUAUUAUAUCAUAGUAUGUAAUUUUUUUCUCACUCUCUUUUACCGUCUUCACUUUUUAAACAACUCAAACAUUUUCAAAUUUUCAUUUUAUAAGUAUAUUUUAGAAAGAAGGCUCUUUCUAUUAUGCCUUGAUUAAAGUAACGGUAUCAAUACUGUAAUUAAACAUAAUUUAUGUAAAUAAAAUAUAAAACUUGUAAAUCAAUAUUAAUUGUAAAAUACAUAAAUUUUAGAAAUUAAACAUAAAACUUGUAAAUUGAAGGUAAAAUGAGUAAAUUAAUAUAAAACUCGUAAAUUGAUAUAUUAUUAGUAAAUAAAACAAAAAUUUGUAAUAUAACAUAAAACUUGUAAAUUAACCUUAAGUGCAAAAUAAAGCACAAAUGUAAAUGGAGGAUAAAACAAGUAAAUUAAUAUAAAACUAGUAAAUUAAUGUAUUACUAGUAAACAAAACAAAAACUUACAAAUAUAACUUAAAACUAGUAAAUCAACAUUAACAAUAAAAUAAAGGGUCACCCUAUGUUACGUUGAGUGUAACAUACACACACUCACAGCAACAGUAACAAGUCUCAUCAUUAACACUGUUGCUGUGAGUGUGUGUAUGUUACACUCAACGUAACAUAGCAGUGGCCUAAAAUAAAACAUAAAUUUUGGAAAUGAAGUAUAAGACUUGUAAAAGGAAAGUAAAAACAAGUAAAUUACUAUAAAAUUAGUAAAUUUAUGUAUCAUUAGUAAGUAAAACGAAAACAUACAAAUAUAAUAUAAACCAAGUAAAUCAAUAUUAAGUGCAAAAUAAAACAUAAAAUUUGUAAACUAUGCUCAAAACUUAUGAAUAAAAGGUAAAAUAAGUAAAUUAAUCUAAGAGUUACUAACAAAAAAGCUCUUAUAAACUAAAAACUCAUUAUAAUAUUUAUUACCUUAUAUAUUUAAUGAUUUUUUAAAAAUUAAAUUGCAUAAUGCUAGUUUUUCAUUUAUGUAGUACAUGUGAUGUUUUAUUAAGGAUGAAAUUUAUUCGCAGAAUUGGAUUUUGAAAAAAAAAACUAUUUUAAUAUCUUUUAUAGUUGUUGUAACAUGAGAUUAUUUUGCAUCCUUCUACACUUCUGCAACAACAACCAUAAAUGGUCUCUUAAGUACAAGUAAAAAGUUUGAAACUAGGGGUGGGCAAAAUCGGGUUCGGAUCGGGUUCGGAUCAACCCGAUCGGAUUUCGGGUUCAUCGGGUUGGAGAGAAACUCAUCCGAACUCAACCCGAAUUUUAGAUCGGAUCGGAUCGGAUCGGGUUAUAUUCGGGUCGGGUCGGAUCGGAUCUAAAAUUCGGAUCAAUUUCGGGUCAAUUCGGGUUAAGGACAAAAAAGAGUCAUUUGUGUUAAUUUUGGGUUGUUUAAUAAUUAUUUAAUAAUUACAAGAUCACUUUUAUGCAAUUAGUUCAUUUUAGUCCAUUUCCACUUUCCAGUGACUGUCAUAAAAAAAAAUAAACUGAAAUAGAAUUGAAAAAGUUGUGAGCUUGGAGGACUUGGUGUCAUGAAUCUCAGUCUCGGUCUCGUUGGAAGAACAACCAUGGAUCGCUUCGCGCGGGUCAAGCAGCAGCCGAUGGAUCAAGCGGCAACGGGUUUCGUCAAUGGCUCAUGGCUUCACGGGUUUUGUCGGUGGCUACCAGAAAAGCAGAUCCGAUCGAAGUGAAGUGCAGCAACCGUCGAUGCAGCAGCAAGCAGAUCCUGUCGUCAGUGCAGCAGAUCUGGUCGAGUGGUGUGCUGCAUGUGGCCCGCUGCUGUGCUAACCGUCUGUAGUUUUGUUGCGAGAAAGAAGAGAAAGAAGACAGUGAAGAGAAAAAAGAGAGUUGUUUGUGUGAGUUGUGAGAAAGAAGAGAAAGAAGAGAGUGAAGAGAAAGAACACGGAGAGUGAGAAAGAAGAGAAAGAAGAGAAAGAAGAGAGUGAAGAGAAAGAUUUAGGUUUUUUUAGGUUGUUUGUGUGUGGCGUGUGUGUUUAGAUUUAGGUUUUUUUGUUUUUAAAGCAACCCGAUCGGGUUUGCGGAUCGGAUCGGAUUUGACCCGAUCCGAUCACAACCCGAUCGGGUUUCACCAUCUUCAUCCGAUCGGGUUUCCUUUAUAACCCGAUCCGAUCCGAAUCUGAAAUUUUUCGGAUCGGGUCGGAUCGGAUCGGGUCGGGUCGGAUAUUUUGCCCACCCCUAUUUGAAACUACAUGAAGCAUACAUAGAACUCAAAAUUAGAUAUAAUUUUAUUGAUAUAUCAUAUAUGUGUCCAGUAAUAUGAGAAUAAUUAUUUAUUUAUUUAUUCAUUUGCUUGAUCCACGUCAAGAUAAAUAAUUGCACUUAAUUAACUUGUGUAAUAAACAUAUAUCAUUAUAGAAAAUGGGAAAAAUUAUACAAAUGUCAUUAAAUAAAUAUAGAAUUUAUGGUUAAACCAAUUCAAUAAAAUAUAUUUAACUUUUUUUGUACAAUUUUUGUUUAAUUAAUGAGUAAUUUUUUCUUUAUAUUUUUGUAAAUGAAUAAAAUAUGUUUCACUAAAAUUGUGCAGAAGCAAUGUUAAUUUUUUAAAUAAUUAAUAAUCUUGUACGAAGUUACUUGUUUUACUUUAUAUUUACUAAUUUUAUAUGAAACUAGUAAAUAUAAAGUAAAGCAAGGAAAUUCAUACAAGAUUAUUAAUUAUUUAAAAAAUUAUAAAACAUUAUUUGAAUGGCAAUACCAAUUGCACCCUAGUCCGUACAAUUUCACGUCAUUCAAUGUUGAUAACGUGGCUGGCACAAAGGCCAAAUCAGAGGCUGCGCGGGCGUCACCUGGGCCUUUGCCUGGAUCCUACCCUUCGCAAGCAAAGGCCCACGAUUAUGUAUCACCCAUUAAUCCUUCUAGAGAAUCUGCUAUAGAUGUAAAUGGACCCUCAUUCUCAUUUUCACUGUUUUGAUUUUUCAAAAUUCCUUUUUUUUUUUUUGAAGUUUAAUGCAUUUUAUUAUCUCCCUCAAACUAUUUGGCUAUGGUAAUUGGCAAGGGGAAAAUUGUCUUUUAACCAUUCUAUUACCUUAAGACAACGGUCAAGUAUUGGAACCAUGGUGAAUCAUUUUUUAGGGAUUUCAGUCAACUUAUAAACAUUAUAGAGAUUGAUUUUUUUUUUGCGAAAUAUUCGAAAAUAAAUGCAGCACUAAGAGGUUCUUGUAAACUAUUAAAUUCAAAUCAAUAAAAGUAGCAAUAAUAGCGUAAGUCCAGAAUCUAUCAUAUAUCAAUACCACUCUCAUACAGUUGUUGUUAAAUCAGGCCUAAAAAAUAUAUAUUUUUUCUUUAAUUUAAUAAAAUUAUCAAAAGUCAGAUUUUUUUUUCUUGAUUACAUAAAAAUGCAUAAAAUUAGAGAAACGCCUUAAAUUUCCUAUUGAAGAUUUGAAGACAACUACUUUAAUUUUUUCCACUACUAUUAUUGGGAUCUGUAGGAUAUGGUUGUAGUUUUCUCGACUAUCAUCAAUAGUCUCCCUCACACAUGAGGGCAUAUAGAGAACUCUAAUUCCCAUUUCCUCUUCUUUAUAUAGGCAUUUAUUAAAGUCAAGAUAUAACUAGAAACUAAGCUAACAAAGGGUAUCCAUGAACUUCCUAAAUCCAACUUCAUAGGUAAGUCUCAGUCAUAUUAUGACUCCCUAAAAUAACUAAGUUAACCCUAAGCUAUUCUACUAAAAGUCCGAUGUUGCACUCUAAUGAACCAUGUAACAAAUAAAAGCCUAAUUAAUUAAGAUUUCUUUUAAUUAAUAUUAGACAUGAUUUUAAACCAAUAAUUACCACUUAAUUGACUCUUUAUUUGAUAAUCUUAAUUAAAUCCAGCCCAUGAUAAAUGUUCUUUCUUUGUAAUUACAUAUAUAUCCCUCGGUCACUAUUUAUUCUAACUAUCACUGUUAAUAUAUUUGUAAAUAGAUUACAAAUAAAUGUUAUUAAUUAAUAAAUAAUUUAUUGAAUAAAUUAUAACCACAGAUUUAAAUGAUCAAUAUAGGGAUGGCAAAAUGCAAGCUUAGACUAGGCUUUUUCAAGCCCGUUAGAGGGAAAGUAUAAGGGGUAAGCUUGGGCCGGGGUUGGGUUAGGUUGGGCUUUCACUUAUUUUUUUCAUUUUAAUUUUUUUUUUUAAAAAACUUGAAAUGAAUUAAUAGUCAAUGAGUUGUUAUAAUCGGCAACGAAAUAAAGAAAAUGAAUGUUUCAAAAUAAAAUAAUAAAUAAAGAAAACACAACAAAAAAAAGUGUAGAGAUUUAAAUUUUUUAAUACUAGAUUUUUUAAUUCAAGUAUCUUCUUAAUUAAUUAACAUUUAAAAGAGAGUUUAUUAUUAUAAUUUUAGAUUUUUUGAUUCAUUAUUGAUAUAUAAAUUAGGGACUUAAGCUUUCUUUUUUUUUUUUCCAUUAUUUCAUAAAAUUUUAAUUUAUUAUUCAAAUUUCUAAUUUAUUUUUUGAAAAAAAAUAGAGGGCGUGUGCUUAGAUUUGUUUUUACUUAAGCCCUUAUCCAGACCGUUCAUAUGGAGGCUCGAGCCAAAUCUCAUAGCAAUGGGCUGGGCUCAUCCCUAUGAUCAAAUACUACAAAUAGCUUAGGUAAGCAUCAUUUGUAUAGAUUCCAUCUUGUAAGUAUAUAUAUUUCUAUAAUCCAUGAAAUUAUAUCUCCAAAUUAUUAACGUUUUGACCGUUUAUACAAAUCUUACUUUGUGACGACUCAAAAGACAUAAUACCUGAAUGUGCGCUAGACUCCUUUACCCUUUAUUAGCGUUAUAUUACCCACUCAGGAUUAAGAUCGAUCAAGCUUAUUAAAGCUUGUAUAGAUUAUGAUUAGCAACAUAUGUUAGAUUAGAUCAUAAUUCAUUACAAUCUUGUUCAUUACAUAUAUAUCUCAUAUACAUACUAAUUUUUCUACUUGAAGUCUCUACUUCAGUGAUUAAGAUAAAGUUACUUAACAAUAAAAAUACAAAAUAUACAGCCUUAUAAAAUAAAAUAACAUUUCAUUAAUGGAUGUGAAUAAUCUUUUAUUUAUAAAGAAUUUGUGAUUUUUAUCUUCUAUCUUGACAUCAUAUGUCCAAUAUAUAAAUCAAAUACUUUAUAAAUAAGGGCUAAUAAUGUAUGCUCAAAUAAAUAAUAAAUAAAUAAAUUUUAAUAAAUUUAGAAAUUUUUAUUUUAUUGCAUGCUGUAAGAGUACAAAAUAAUAAUAAGUGUAAUAGUAAUUAUAUUGUCAAUAAUGAUACUCAAAUACUUAUACCUUUUUUUUUGUGUUUUUUUAAAAGUAAAGGGUGGUAAUACCAAAUCAGUUUUUUCGCAUCUAACCUUUGAGGAUUCGAACUCUAAUUACCAAACAAAUAAAACUACAUGGAAAUCAGCUAAGCCUAGGGGCGGCCAAUCAAAUGCUUACAUGUACUAAGCAAAACAAAAGAGAACUUAUAAUUACUUUUGUAAACAACAAAAAGUAUAUUGAGACUGUUUAAAAAUCUAUUACGCCCUAGUAAAUACUCUAGAGUCUACUCCAUAUUAUUGAGGAAAAUGAUUGAAAAGAAAAAAAUGGAAUUCAAAUUAUUAUCCUCGGUAUUAUUGAGAACAACUGUUACCAUUGAUCUACCAGCCCAAUAGCUAUUAUUAUUAGUUUUAUAUUAUAAUUCUCUACUGAAAAAUACAAUAUUAUCUCAUUUAGUGUUGAUGUAUGUGGCACAAAAACCAAAUCAAAGGCUGCGCCACCUUCACCGGGGCCCUUGCCCAGGUCCCACCCACCACAACAAAAGGCCCGCAAAAAAUUGUUUAUAUUAUAUAUUUAUUGGGUAGUGAAUGGUGAUAUUUUUUAUUUCUUAAAAUACUAAUUAGAGACCAGGUUUGCCCAUACUCGCAUGUGUAAGAGAGAAUCCAUUAUUGAGAAGAAAUUAUCAGUUGGAUUUAGGAGGAGUUAUUUAUGAACAAUAAACUUUUGGCCAAAUAAUCCAAAUAUCAAACAAAUUUGAGGGAAUGCAAAGUGUAGACGAGUAAAAAUUCAAUAAAUGACUAAAGAUUCAAGAAAACAUGAGUAUUAUAAAAUUGAUUAAAUUCAUAUUGUGUUUGAAGAUGGAAUAAAACACCAGUAUAAUUGUUUUCAAAUAAUCAUAUGUCUAUAAUUGUAAUUUAUGUUAUUGAUAUUUUAGUAACAAUUAAGUUUAUUAAAAUGUGAGUUUAAUGAGUAACCUAGAGGGUUAAAUAGCCUCAACCUUUAAAAGGUGUCAAAAGGCUACUCUUUGUAUAAUAUAAUAUACUCUACUGAAACUAACCCACUUAAUACUAAAAAUUAACAUUGUAAUGUUUUCUGAAUUAUUUUAGUGUUCAAUAUCGACAAUCAUGAUGUUUUUGAAUGAAAUAUACAACAUGUUUAUAAUGUAAAAAAGAAGUCAGGGUUAUAUGAUGUAAGAAAUUGUUGAACUAAUACAUGUAUAGAUGUAAAUAGGGUAGCAAAAUGAAUUCAUGAAUUAGGUUAAAAGUCGGUAAAUUCAAUAUAAUGAAUUGGGUUAGAAGUUUGAAACUCCAAAGUUUCUAACUUCGAUGUUUAAAUUACAAAUUCAUUAACAAUAGAAUAAAUGAACCAUCCUAACUCCAAAAUUUCAACCGAACCAGUGAGCUUAAAUCCACAUUCAUAUUUUAAAUUAAUCCACUGGUUCGUUUGAAAUUACAAAUCCAUUAACAUUACAAUUAAAAUCCUCAAAAUAAAUAUUUUGAACUAGUGAGACUUUUUUUUUUUUUUUUGCAUAAUUAUAUUUAUUGCAUCAUUCAAUAAAUGGAUCUUCAAAAAAUAAACAAAUCAGUGCGACAUUCAAUUUGUUCACUUAACAAAUUCAAUCAAAAUGGUCCAUUUAUUAGACGAAUUAAUUUUUCAAACCUAAAUGCUUUUAAUUCAAAUAGAAUCAAAUGGAAUCAAUAAAUCAUGAUCUAUAUUAUCACCCCUAGAUGUAAACCCUUUUUAUGAGAAAAAGGGUGUUUAUAUGAUAGAGAAACUGUUGAAUUAUAUUUUUAAAGGGUAAUUUUCAGAAACCUCCCCUGAGGUUUGGGGUAUUCUCACCUUGAUAGAAUGUAUUCACGUAUUCUCAGUGACCUCCCCUCACGUUAGUAUUCCCAUUCUUAGACUGUUUGUUGACUGACAAAAUGUCUAAAAUACCCUUGACUUACGAAAAACAUAUUUUUCAUGUUCAAAACAGUGCAUUGUUGGUUGAUAGCAUUACAUCUGUUUUGGCGCCAAAGGCUAUAAACACAAUAAAGUUACCAGAUCAUUCUCAUCCAUUCCCAAAAUAAUUUACAGCUGAAUUAGGGUAAAAAAAUUAAAAAUAAAUUUAGAAAUUAUAAUUGUUACUGCCAAUAUUUAUGUUUGUUGGCUAUAUAAUUAGCCAUUGCCAAGCUCAACAAACAACAAAGCCUCUGCUACUCAUAACUAAAGCUUUCUUCUUCCUUCAACAUUAUCAAAACAUCACUACCAAUAUCCUCUCAUACCUCCAUAUCAACCAUGCAUCUACAAACUCUUCAAAAAUCAUUCAAAUCUCACCACUUUCCAAUCAUUAUUCAAAGUUGGAACACCUAUGCAUGUCAAUGUAUUCUCAAAGAACACUCUUGCUGCCAAAGCUGCUGCUGCAGGAUUAACUAUCGACUAUCUCUUUAGGCUUGGGUUAGUUGCCCUUUAUUAAUAAAAAUAUCGUAUUAGUAUGCAAUUUAUAGUGAAUAUAAGUCAUGGAAAUAUUGUAAACACAUACAUAAGUAGAUUCAAACAAUCGUGGUUCUACUCGUUAAACACUGUUAUGCUACAAAACAUACUACAAUAUACUUGAUUUCAACAGUAGUAGCAACUUAUAUUUCUAUUCAAUCUAACAACAUUUUGCAGAAAUUUUAAUGCAAAGAGACUACGUAUAACAGAACUAAGAUUUUAUUCAUAACAGAAAUAACAAGCUAUUGCCAAUCAUCAAGUCAUUGCAGUUGAUCUAUCACAAAAUUUAUAUCUUUUUUUUUUUUCUUGUUUUAACAUUAUGGAACCAUUACUUUAUUAUUUCAAUGUACACCAAUAUUAAGCCCUAUCAUGCAGCUUCAUUAUUGACACUUUCUAUUGAUGAAAUUAAAACUGAUGAACAACCGAAAUAAAACAUUUAUGUGAAUCUUAAAGACUGAACACACUGACCCAACACAAAAUGGUUGGCAACCAUCUAACACUAUAGAACACAGUUGAUGAAGAUAACCUUUCAAAUGAAUUUUGUAUUAACAUGUUGCUGCAUACAUAUAUAAUCUUACAACUUUAUGGAAAAUCACACUAAAUAUGAACAGAAUCUUGGAUUUUCUAAAACUAGAAAAUCUCAAUAAUACAAAAAAAUCUAAUGUCCUUAAAUAUUACAUUUACUCCUAAUGGUUAUAAAUUCAACCAAGGCAUGUCAAAUACCAAAAAGCUAUCCGCGAAAAGGAUUGAAGCAUUUUCUUUUAUAGAAUACUAAUUACAAACUUCAAUUUAUUUUCAACAUGCAUUUGGGUUACUCCAUUCACUACAACUAACAUUAAUUGAUGACAAAAAUAAGAAGCAUCAGCCAUAUUCUCAAUCAAUUUUGAAGAUCCAUUUUCAUAUUUUACUCAACUUAUCAACAAAGCAAACAAAAACUAACAUGCACUAAAAGUUCUUCAUACAUACCUCAUCCGUGGCUUGGAAAAAGUAAGGUAUUAACUGGUAGCCCACGAAACUCACUGGUCGGUACUCUCUGACCUCGCGGCCUUAAAUCGUUCAUCGCCCGUAUUGGAGUCCUCAACUUCACCGUCAUGGUCCUCAAUUUAUGGGCAAAGUGCUUGAUGAAAGUAUAAGAGAGAAAAAUGAAAUAGAUUUUAAGCUUGGUUGCUUCGGCUUUGGCAGAGGAAAGAGAUGAUAACUUUUCAUUUUGUAUUAAUAUUUGUUGAGCAAAAGCAUGUUUCAGUAUACAGGGUACAAAAGCAUGUUUCAACUUAUUACCCUAUGGAUAUUAACAAAGUUCAAACCAAUUUCAAAGCCCAAGGUGAAAAUAUUAAAUUUGUUUGAAUUUUUUUUAUUUUUAAUUUAUUUAAUUACGAUCCUACCCUUGCAUGCUUAACUUAUAUGAAACGGAAUACUAACAUGAGGGGAGGUCAUUGAGAAUACGUGAAUACAUUCUAUCAAGGUGAAAAUACCCCAAACCUCAGGGGAGGUUUCUGAAAAUUACCCUAUUUUUAAAUAUGUUAUAUAUUAUUGAUUUAUCUGUCAUUUUACUGUAGAGUGAAAUUGUAGCAAUAAAAAAUUGAGUAAAAUCUUUAAAUUUAUAUUUUUCAUGACUCACCGUAGAUUCUGGUAUUUCAUAGAUUAAUUCUUUAUUGGCUUAAAAAAAAUCCUACCCAAACUUAAAAAAAUUAAGCUAAUAUAGACCUAACAUAAAAAGAAAUAAAUAAGAUAUAUAAUACAGAAUUUUGUAAAUUAUUUUUAAUGUUAAAUACAAGUAUUUUAAUAUUAUUGAUCUGCAAAAUAGAUUUUAUUAAAUUAAAACAUAUAUGAUAGAUUAAUAAUAUUAAAUUAAUUUUUUUAUUCAAAACAAUUUAUAAAAUAUAUAAAAUUUAUAUAUUAUAUUAUUUUAAUAUUAUAUUUUGUAUCUAUCUAUCAUAGAAGUUUAUUUAAAAUCAAUUUUUGGAUUGUUAAAAUCGAUGUGUAUAAUCAUAAAAAAAAAAAAAUUUGUGUGAUUAUUUAUUAAACCAAGGAGGUCUAUAGCAACAUUUAUGUUCCCAAGGGGGUAUAUAUGCUUUUUUUCACUGAUUUUUAGAUGAAUUAAUUCUUAAAUGUAUCUAUUUAUCAUUUACUGCAAAGAAGGUGAUCAAAUUAACCAUAAAAAAUACCCAAUGAAAUGUGUGAAAUGCCUGAAAGGUAAUAGGAACUGUCAAAAAUAUUUGUACGGAUUGGACUAGGCAAUGCGGGCCAAUAAUAUCUAGUCCAAAGAUGAGGCCGGACCAAGUUUAAGUUUUACUUGAUAAAUUCAGAUCCGUUCCAAAACCUGAAUUUUAUGAAAAAAUAUUAUAAAAUACAUUAUUUUAAAUAAUUAUAUUUAUUUGACCCGUAGAUUAUACAUAUUUAAAAUUUUAAAUAUUUAAAGUUCAUAUUUGAAAAUCCAAAUUCAUUAAAUAAAAUUUAAAAAUUAUAAACUAAAAUAGGUCCCUACAGUGCAACCCGGUUAAGUCGAAAGCCAUCCCAGCCUGGGCCAUUUGGGUCUUUGCAUUAACCUCAAAAGGAUAAAAAGCGCAUGAGGUAUAGGUUUUAACCGAGAGAACUUCUUGCGCAAUUCAUGCCGUUAUGCUUUUAUGACCAGAAAUUGUUUCUUGAUUUGAUUUCCAUUUCAAAUUGUUUCUUGAUUUUUAUUAAUAUGACGUGGGACCUGUCUAUGGUACAGAUUCUGUAACAAACAUCUCCCGACAUCCCACCAUCUGAUUUUCUAUUGUUUAGUUUCUCAGUCCACAUCCAACCACAUCCAACGGCUGAUGCUGCAGUCUGUAGCUUACAGAUUCUGUAAGCUAGUCAAGUCCUAUGAGGUGAUUGCAAAUAUACAUAUAUAAUAUUAUAAAAUAUAAAUCUGGAUUUUUUAAGCCCAUUAAAGAAAAUCCAUUUGGGGCCGAGUUUUUAAGCCCAACCUCAGUGUUCAAAAAAACAUGCUUGGGCCAAAUUUGAGUAUUGCCAUAUCCGGGACCGACUUGAGUUUUUACCAUGACUAAGCAUAAUCAAUUGGUUGAAAUAAUUUAAUUUCCGGUAAAAUGAUGUGAAAAAUUGUGAAUCAAUUUGGUAAUCUCGUAGAGGCCACUUUGUAACACAGCAAAAGUAUUCGAUUGAUCUGAAAUCAUUGAAUAAUUUUCUGUUAGAGGAAGGAUGUCACGUGCAACAACAAGAAACAUAUAAUGCUACAAUAAUUUAGAUCAACAAUAAUAUUUAGGAUCCUAACAUUUGAGUCUCAACUUGACUCUCAAUGAUAUGUGUCACUCAUCAAUUGAAUAAUGAAUGUAAUAUUUAGUAAAAUUAUUUAACUACCAUUCAAUCGAUGAAUUCCACGUCAGUAGGAACUCAAAUUAUGACUUAUGUUGGGACAUCUACCAUUGCUCUUCGCAUCAGUGGUGAGGCUCCAAGUGGGCUGGGAAAUUUUUGGAAAGUUUACAAAAAUGUCAUAAUGCAAAGUUUAUAAAUUUGCCACUAUUUUAUUUACAGUAGUACCACUCUAUUAAUUUACCACUUUAUCAUUCAAAUAAAUAUAUAGAAAAAUGGGAGCAUUUACUUCAUUCAAGAUUCCAGAACGUGCUUCUUCAAUUCUUCGUCUUCUUCUUGACAAGAAUAGAUAAUAAAUUUAUUGUUUAUUCAAUCAUUUACAGUACACUUAUUAAUUGUUAGGUAGUAAAGACUAAAGAUUAUAUUAUUUAAUUCUUGUUCCAAUUUCAUUGUGUAAAAUUAAAUUAUUGUUGGGUCAAAUGAAGAUAAUUUAGCCAUUAAAUUCUAGCAUUCAAAAAUUUAAAUUAAUUAUUAAUAGAUUAGAGAUAUUUGAAAUUGAUUAUUGAUAGAGAUGGAUCAUAGAUUCAAUUCAGUACAUUAUACAUAAAGUUAAUUUGUUAAUUAAACUUAUUGUUUGGCUUCUGGAUAGUGUUAAUGUGUCGUAGUGACAGAUUGACGGUUCUAUGGCUUUUAUUAGUAAAUUUAUGAUUAUUUCUUCUAACUUCUUUUAUAUUUAUACCCUGUUUUGACUGAAACACCCAAACGAGCAUAGACCCGGCUUCAAAAUAAGGAAGAAAAGGAAUUUUUAUCAAAUUGUAUAGUUAUCUACGUUAAAAGAGAAUUUGUAAACACCGUCAAUUUAAAUUCGAUAAUAGAUGGAUUUAAUUCUCGAAAGUAUGGUAAGGCACAAACUUAAUAGUGUUUAAUUGUGACUAAAUUACUUCUUAGAUAUGAUAUAUUUUCUUAUGUAUAACAAAAUUUUCUUUCAAAUUUAUAUUUUUAACCAAGAUAAUAUUUGGAUUUGGAAAAAAUUUAGCCUACCCAAGAUAUUUUUUCUGGCUUCGCCCCUGAUUCAGAUAAUCUAAACUUCCAGAAAUUUCAGAUAAAUAUUACUCCAUUUUGAUUUGUUAUUGUUUCUCAUAUAUUUGCAUAAACACAUUACAUUGUUUUUGUGCUCACUGCAGAAGAUACAAUGAUUUAGUUUUACUUACAACACUGCAUAGGAACUCAAUACAAUAUUCACUAAAUGCUUGUGGAAAGUGCAGAAAGGUACUGAUAGGGUCUCGUAUGAGAACACAAUGAUUUUACCCACAACAGAACCUAGGAACUACAUGCAAUUGCAAAAUCGGUACUAAGAAGCAGAAUACCAAUGCCCUUUAUGAAGGUUUCCACGAAGACAGAGGUGGAGUUUCAGAGUCUUCGUAGGUAGGAGUGACACCCCCAUACCGAUGAACCCUUACAGCAUCUGCUGAAGCAAUGGAUUCAAGCUCAGCCAUUUCUUCUGGAGAAAGUUUCACUGACAGAGCUUUAAUAUUUUGAUUCAGGUUUUCAAUCUUAGUGGUUCCAGGAAUCGGACACACGUCAUUUCCUUGGUGAUGAACCCAUGCUAAUGCAAGCUGAGAUGGGGUGCAUCCUUUCUUUACUGCUAUUUCAUUAACACGUUCAAAUAGCUUUUUGUUAUGCUCUAAAUUUUCAGGUUGGAACCUCGGUUGAUGCUGCAAGAUUUAGAAAACAGCUCAGUACCAAUACUGAACUGCAAUUGAAUCAUUAAAAAAAAAGAACAUCAUUUUGGAUAAAGCAUGAUUUUAGAGGAGGUUUAUGUAAAAUUCAAUAGACCAGAAAACAAAGAAAAAGGACUAGGCGGGGACUUCUCCUAGGUGGAGGAUGUUUAUAGUAAAACAUUUUGGCAUGUUAGACAAAGGUCUCACAAGAAAUAAACUCUCCUUGGACUUGUCAAUUGAUUUCACAUUGACGUGCAUAGGCAAAGCAAUAUAUAACAAAAAUGGAAACUGCCACAAGGAUGUAGAAGUUUGGAAGAGUCGUUACAGCUAAACUUCUGGAGCAUCCAGUAAUAGUUUUGAGGUAAUGGAACAAUUUUUUUCCCUCAUUUUUUUUUCACCUCUAUACAACUUAAGGGGUAUUAUCAUGUAUAUAAAUUGAAUCAGUCAUGUUAAAAUUUUCUGUCCAUCAAUGAAGUCAUUGCAUAGAUAAUUCCUCAGAUUUUCAAUGCAAAGAAAGCUUUUGCUCAUAUUUGAGGAGGUUAAUGAACAUAAUCUGAGGGAAACAAUUGAAAUCUAUGAAGAAUUUCAGAGCUAUAGAGUAAAACUAAACAAGAAUUAUUAUUGUAUUGCUAAAUGAGAAUGAAUGUGUAAUAAAGAACACAAGUAAUGCAAAUAUGAUGAAAGUAAAAAUACAUGAUUAGUAAACACCAAACAUUUAGCUAAUGAUGAAUAAGUUUUGGUAGACAAGUCACUUCAAAAAGGAUUACAGUGUAUUCAGUCCUUAGUAAUUGAAUUUUCAUUUUUCCUCAAUCCUCUCCAUGCAAUCCAUACACAGGCAACUUCAGUGUAAUUAGUCGAUCGAAAUGAACUAGUAGAAUAUCUAAGAAAGAGAAUUCUUAAACAAGUCCUCCUGGGUUAGGUUAGAAUAACUAUAACUAUGGCUCUAGAUAAAUAUCAGAGGUUUAUAAGAUAAAAUAGUAUGCAAGUCACUGUAGAGUAUCUUGAGAGAAGGUUUUAAACAUGCUUGCAGACAUCGAAUAAUAAAUGCAUGGUAGGCUUACGAACAUGU
rnacentral:lncRNA from 1 species